rnacentral:lncRNA from 1 species
AAUGAAGUUGGAUAGGUCCUUAGGUGGAGGUCUUGUGGCCAUAUACUUGUGUUUUAUAUUCCUAAGACUAGCAAAGGCUCUAGGAUUACCAAAACUUGGGGGCUCUUUACUGGAAAAUUGAAAGAGCUUUACAAGCAUUGGUUUUGAUCUUUAGAGAUUUUCAAGCAUUGGUUUUGGUCUUAGAGCUUUUCAAGCGUUGGUUUUGUUGUAAAUUAAAUAAAGCAGUAAAUUUUCUCUUGUCCUAAAAGUAAAGGUAGGAAGGCAAAUGCGUGUAAAUACGUUAAAAAACCGCAGCCUAGCAAAUGUACUAUAUGCUUGCCCCAGAGGAGCACCUCACAAGUGAUUCGCUGUCCAAGUACUUGCUCCCUUUGAGGCAAGGACCACAAAAUUAGCAUCCAUUAUUUUCUUGCCAUUUUCACUUUCAAUUUUUCAAAGAGCCAAAAAUUUAUAGGGAUAAUCAUGAACGCGAGCCGAGCUGUCAAUGACUUGGCUUGAACUCAGUCAAACCGAGUUCGAGCCGAGUCUCGAGUUACUCGAGUACACAUUCGAGUCGAGUUCGAGUCAGAAUUUUACAGCUCGAUCGUUAUGGGUAUAAUUUAUACUGAAUUUACAAGCAAGGUGUCGAGUCAAAAAGUUUGAUUACUCGACUCGAUAAGACUUGACUAAAAGUUGAGCCUUAUCAAGUCGAGUCUCGAGUUUUUAAUGAUUUUCUCGAGUCAAGCUCGAGUUUGAGAUUUUCCGAUUCGAUCGAGCUCGAGCCGAGCUCAAGUACAAUUAUUUAUAGGUCGAGUCGAGCUCGAAUAUAGCAAUACUCGAGCUCGUCUCGGCUCGAUUACAUACCUUUCAUGAUUUUCACUUUUACUGGAUUUACACAAUAUAUUAAAAUGCCAUUGGAUUGAAACAAUUAUAGUUUUACUUAUUCCUUGUGAGGUACAUGAUCGAAGAUGAAAAUCAGGUGAUGGAUUCAUGUUACGAAAAAGAGUUUGUUUUAAUGGUAAAUAUAGAAAAAAUAGCAGAGUUACAAGGUGAUUUUGAAAGUUACAAGCACUUCAUAACCUUUAAUCUUAUUUAGAAAAAAAAACUUUUUCCUAGCAGAAAGAGUUGGGAUUUAAUCUUUGCUUGCAUAACCUAUCAAAUCUAACAUUAUUCUCUUACCAUUAUCCAUAAAAUUUUACCAUAUCCAUCCCCUAUUUUUAGAUGCUUAAACGGUUAUCUAAAAACUAACUUGAUUUAUUGAAAAAAAAAAAAAGAAUAUCGAUCAAGAGUAGCAUUUAAAUUUGCAAGUGUUUGUAGCAUUUAAAAUCACAAUAAUACUACCAGAAUUCAUGAAUUUGCUAGGUGAGGGUAUACAAAAUGGAUUAAUCUUUCCUACACUAACAGUGUAUACACUAUCAGCGUUGGAUGAAUAACAACUAUGUAAAAUUUGAAAUAGAAAUUCAACUUUUGUACACGUGUCAUGAAUCCAACGAUGAUAAUAUAUACACCGUCAAUGUAGGAAAGAUUUACUCAUACAAAAUAUGGGAGUUUACUCAAAUUUGUAGUCAAAUUUUAUGCCAAAGUAUAGUAAAAAAACUGCAAAAGCUACUUAAGGAUCUUCUCCAACAAUUGUGCUUUGACUUCGAUAUUGUGCCCUGAGCAACAUGCUUGAUUUACUGAUGACAAUGUAACCAUAAGGAUGUCUAGGUCCAAGUAUCAUUUCCUAUUACAAUGAAAAAAAAUGUAGGACAAAGAUAGCUGAAUGAGACAAGGAGAAGUGAUAGUCGAAACGUCAAUUGUAAAUGUUUUCGAGGGGAGAUAAGACAUAUAAUGAACUUCAUAUGCAAAAAUUAUUAGUACUAGCGGGCAUUUGCAGCACCAGUAUUGAUAUUUAAAUAACAAACUUCAUAUGCAAAAAUAUAUGAUUUGAAAUCAUUUUUGGCAUUUAUUAAUCUUCAUAGGACUUGUGUUAUCUUAGAAAAGUCUGAUACGAAUACCCAAGUUUUACGCAGAAUGACAUGAUGCAGACCAACUUUGUCCUUAACGAAGAGCUCUUAGUUUUCAAUUAUCGGGUAGCACGGAAGGUAUUGAUAGGAAUGUCCAAGUUGAACUCAAAUUCCUAGCUACCGCGACCAAAUACACUCAACUUGUAUUGUCAAGGACCCUACUUUUUUUUAAAAAAAAAGUAAAUAGAAGUUUCAACAGGUUUGACUCAAAUAAGUCACAAUAUAUCUCCGAAACUAUAGGUCACUUAUAAAAUUUCUUAUAAAUUGCCCAUAAAUACGGUAUUCACAUCAAUUUUUCUUAUAGAUCGUCCACAAAUACGGUAUUCAUAUCAAUUUUCACAUUGAUAUUGAGAUUCGAAUAUAUGAUCUUUGAUCUUUAAUGAAAAAAUACUUUGAUCUUUAAUGAAAAAAUAGUUCAUCCUUAUUAAUUGAGUCAAUUUGUAUCGCAAGAAUCUUACUUCUAUUCCACCGUAUAGCUUGUUUUCCUUCAUACUUCGGCUCUUUGAGAACUAUUUCCAGACCAUUAAAUGAACUCCGUCUGGUUGUUUCAAAAUCUAAGAUGGUCCAAAUGGACACCGUUGGAUUUUCCUUUCCUUUUAAAUUUGUUCAUCCAACAGGUUGGGCCAGAGGUAGGGCACAAACUUCAGUGUUGAGAAAUCUCCAAAGGCCAGUUUAGAACACUGAGUGAGUUUCGUAAUAAUCUGAAAAGGAUGGUGGUUGAUGGGUUUUUCGCUACUAAAGACUCCUAGUUUGGCGGAGGAUCUUGGGCUCGUUGAUAAGGUCUCUGUAGUUGCGGAUCGCAGUUAGUACAAGUAGAACCAAAUUCUAGAGCGACCAAAAAAAAAAAAAAAAUUCUGGAUGGACUAUUCUCCUACUAUAUCAUGCGACGGCAUAUCACAAUUUUUUAACUUGGUGGGAAAAAUCAUGAAAUUUCUUAAUCAUAGAUGGCAGCGUAUGCAUUAUUUUUUUUUAGGUGGCAGCGUAUGCUAUCUCACUAUGUUUUUAUGUAUGUCUUAAAGUUAGGGUUUAUUGUUGUGUCUUAAUUAUUUAUGUUUAAUAAAUGGUAUUUUUAUCUUAUCAAUUGUUGUGUUAUUUUAAUUAAUUAGAUAAAGUUCUUAGAAUAAACUAUAUCUAGAUUAAUCUGAUCAUGAAGUAUCAUGAUAAUGAGAUACAUUAACAAUGGUUUAUUCUUAAAGAUAUCAUAAUAUUAAUAGAUUGGACACCAUUAAUAUAGAAAGACUAGUACAUACUAUGUUUCUUCCUUUUGAAAUACAUAGUAGAUCUCGUUUAAUAUAAUGUAGAGACAUCAAACCUUGUUGUGUGAGUUCUUAAUAAGAUAAUCAAAUUCAUUAAAUUGAUCCAUUUGGAAAUUUUCAUAUGAAUAGCUAUUUGAGUGUGAAUGAUAAAUCUCUCUAUGGCGUGUGUAUAAAUGAUCCUCUUACUUAAGAUUACUAUAGUGUUUUAAAUGUGAAUUGUUAUACUCAGACUCUAUUGAGUGUUUAUGUGUGAAAGCGUAUUCAUAUCAUUAGAGAUUGGAUAUAACAUGAAGUAUAGAAAGAUAGUGAAUAAUCUAUUGGGUCAUCGCCUACAAUAGUAGAGAAGUUAUUUCAUUAAUAGCCACUCGUUGGAAUAUAACCCAAAAAACUUUAGUACUCAAUGAAAAGAUCUCAGAUAUGUGUAUCUGAGUAUUUAUUUAUUUAGAUUGUAUUUUGGUAACAAGAAAAUCAUUAAUCACUUUAGAGUUAGCACUUAAUCCAUAUUCUAAGAUUAAUAAGAGAUAAACAUGGUGAAGGAUACAAUUUGUGAGGACUUGUAAAAUCCCUUAUAUUUUUCUUAAAAUCCCCUUUUAUUUGAAAAUUAUUACUUUAGACUAGUCUUACUACUCAAUCACUCCACAAUAAGUGCAAAUAAACAUAGAAUUAAGGGUUUUUCCUUUCAUUUUCAAGUUAUAAAAAAUUAGGGUUUUUACACCUAUCCAUAGUGUGACUAUCCGGUACGGAGUGUAUAUCCAAUUUGAUGAUUAAAAGUGAGUUUUGGAUGAUAUUAAGUGUGUGAUUAUAAGUAAUAAUAAUAAGUUAGUGAAUUAUAAGAUAAAACCCUAGUAUAUGCGAUUUAAGGAAAAAUGACUUGAACCGACGGGUACCGUUCACUAUCGAUUGAACAUACCAUUUGACCAACAUUUUUAGCAAGUUAAUCCCAUUGUUAUUAGAGCCAAAAUAUCAGCUCUAAAACUGAUCAAAGGGGCCGAAAUAUUUGACCCAAAAACCCAAGGAAAAGGAAAAAAAAAGUGAGAUGUGAUCUUGUGUGGACAAGUGGCAUCCAUCUAAGAACCUUUGACCCAAACUAUGACUACGCCAUAAAACCAUCUUGGAGCUUCAUUCUUCUUCAUUUUUUCAGCUUGUAGCCGUGAGCCUUGAGAGAAAAACAAGAGAAAGAAAUCUCUAAAUCCAUCUUGGGUUUUGCUUGAUUUAGUGAGAAAAUAAGAAAACUAAACCGAUUAACUUGAAAAUUGAGAGCUUGGGACGCUUAGGGAGCUAAAAAUCACAAGGAAAGGUGAAGGAUAACUCUUCAAGCCCUUUUAUUGAGGUAUAUUGGCUGUCCAUCACAUUUAUUUCCCUUAGUCUUGCUUAAGUUGAGUAGUAACUUGUAAUCUUGCUUGCGAUGCCUAUUUCAAGUGAUUUUGGAUGAUUGUGGUGAUAAAUUUUGAGUUAGGGUUUGAAUGGUUCACUUAUAAUUUUAUUGUUUGGAUGGUAUAUGGUGUAUAUAAUCUUGUAUAGGAGGUUGUAGUAGUGGUUUAAACUAGAAAGGUGAAGUUAUACCUUGAACUCCUUAAAUUCUAGAAAUGAAACUCUUCACUGCCCUGUUCUGACCGGUUCUGUUUGACCAUGAGAGAGGCCGAAUUAGGCUUAAUACAAAACAUAAAAGUUGUAUAGAAUGAUGUUUUGUAUUUGUCUGCAAAAUUUCAGCUCAAUCUGAGUACUGUAGCUUGUGAAAAGAUAAAAAUACCCCUGACAGCUAUAGGUAGAGCUUCAUGGACAGUUUUGACAUUUCACCAAUCUGACCGCGUCUGUUCACUCUGAUCCAUACUAAAUUAGCAUUUGGCCAAAACAUAUAAGUUGUAGUGCUAUGUCUUAGCUUUCCAACGGCCCUGAAAAUGCCUCAAUCGAACUUCGGUAGCCUAAGUUAUCAUAGUUUACGCAUAGUGCGGUUAACUAGCCUAAUUGUAAGAUUCUGGUUUUGUAAUUUGAAAUUUUGACCUAGAUACACUACGAACUGGACUGAGUGAUCUUCAUCAAAGUUGUAGCCCUUUAUCUUAGCUUCGAAACGGUAUAAAUUUCACACCAAUUUGAUAAGCGUAGCUUCGGUUGUGUCCGAUACGCUAAGCGAUGUCAAAUCUGUCUUUUGUUUUAGGACUUAAACUUCAUUUCCGGACAUUUUCCAAGUUUUAUUUUGUCCUUGUAUGACUUUGAGCCUAUUGAACGGCUAGUGAAAUGAGAUUAUUUUGUGUGUGACUUUGGGACUGAUUGAGGAAAAGAAUGAAGUCAUAAAUGGCUAGAAAAUAGGUAAAUACAAAGGGCAUGUUGCCCAAAUUUACGCUCAAGGGCUAGGUAGAUAUACUUGAGACUUGAGUAAGGCUUGAGAGCGAAUACCACUUGAAUCAUGUAGGAUAUGUGCGUCGUCCUUUAUCAAGGUAUACAAGUUAGAAGUUGGCCGACCUUGUACCCUUGGAAAAAUGAAAACAACGACUAAUAGAAAUACGUUUUCCUCGUUCUUUUGACUCAAAUGGUAUUUCCAAGUCUAAUUGUUACCAAGUCUCACAGUUUGAAAAGCGAGCAUGAAUUUUUCAAAAUUUAAUAAGUAUUUUGAAUUCUAGUUAAACGAGUUACAUUUACUUGGUUUUCUUGAAGCGAAACUCCUAUGUUUCGAACUCUACAGAAUUUUACAUUCGUAAAUGAUAUUUUAUCGCAGAUUUGGACUCCAACCAAGGAGUUGGACCUGAACGUGACUUUUGAGAGGCACUAGACCUUUGGUGAGUGCUUCCAAAUAUCUGAUUGAACUGGAAACUUGUUUUCAAUACUUGACCAAUGUGAUUUAAUGAUAUGUCAUUUGUUUGAUCGGGCAAGAGUGUACUUUAUUGCACUUGCCCAAAUAUGAGAUAUACUUGUUUAUUGUUGCAAUAGAUUUGAUAUAAUUGUGUAUAUGGUGCGCACUUCCUGGAAUUCCAGAAACCCUGUGGCGAGUUACUCGAGUCGAGUCGACAAGGGCUUGGUAGAUUGGAUAACGAACCCUGGGUCUUUUGUUUUGUCGAGUGGAGUGAUAUCUCCUCGACUAAUUGGUAUACUCGAGUAUUACCACCAAUGUUUAUUGAGGAUUUUGGGCCCAGUAGGGGGUUUGGAUGGUGGAUGGAGAGUAGUUUAAGUGACGCUCUACUGAAUUGGUUACUUACUUAAAAGUUGACGGAGUGUCAACUAUUACUUGAUCAAGCUCUGGUGAUGCAAUGGGAAUUUGGCUCCUGAGAGCUAUCCGUAUCCUUAUAAUUUGGAAUGAUUAAUACUUAUCGUGGUAUUGUUUCGAUUUAAAAGAAAACUUUACACUUGCUCAUUUUGAGAUUUGCUAAUUGAAGUGUUAUUGUCCACUUUUAUGAACUUUUCAUGUUCAUUACUUUGCUACAUUGAAACUUGUACUUGUAAACAAUGGUCGAUUUGCUAUUUGGAACCUCACUGGGCUUUUAGUUCAUUCCACGUCAUUUGUUUUCCUUACAGGGGGUACGAGCGAGGCGUGAGACGUGUACAGACUAACGUAGUCUAGUUGUUUUGAGUUUUGAAUUUGUACUCAUGCUAGUACCCGACCAGGGUUGAUUGUACUCGAAUUGUAAACACUUUGAAGCAUUUUGGUGUAUAGAAGCUUUGUAUCUGGAUUUGAGUAUCAAUGUAUAUAUUAAGUUGAAGUGGAUGUGUUAUUUAUUUUCUAUGGAUGUACGUUAUUUUUCUUGACCUAUGAGUGAGUGAGUCCUAACGAGAGUUGGGCAGGCGACCCGCCGAACCCUGGGAUACGCCCUAAGAGGAGGUGAGACCGUCACACAAUUUAUGCUAUACAUAUGCAUAGAACGGUAUAGACAUCUAUCUGCUUGAUUUCUCUAUAUUUAGACAGUUAUGAUACUUUGCUAAAAGUCAAUCUUGAUUUAUAAACAUAAGUUAGUUGAUUAAAUUUAAUAAAUCAUAAAUUAAAGGAGUUUAAUUUAUCUAGUUCUUAUUAUUAAGAAUUCUAACUUUUUCUUAUUGUCAACAUAGUGGAAAAUUAGGUUAGAGAUAUUAUGAGUUCAUUAUGCAAGAUUAAAAGAUAUUCAAGUAAAAGAUUUGAAUGAUAAGUUUAAAAACUUAUAGUUUAAUUUAUAAGAUAAAAGGUUAAGUUUUUAUAAAACAAGAGUUCUAUAAAAAGUUGGAAUCUUAAUCCUUAUGCAAUUGCUUUAGAAAUUUAAAAAUCUAUUUACCUAUAUAUACGCUCUUACUUUAAAUUAACAAGACAUAUUAUCUUCACAUAGCAGUGUAUGAAAUUUUAAAGAAAAUCUAAAGAGAGAAAAAAAGGUAAAUUUUUCCAACUUCAAGAAAAAGAAAAACAUCUCAUUCUUCUUUCUUGUUUGUCAAAAUUUCUUAAUCAAUUUGAUUAGGGUUUUUCUCUUUCAAAACUACUUCAACUUAUGAGAUAAAUUGUGGUAGUUGGCUAGGACUAUCUUAGUUAUAGCCAAAUCUAUCUAAGGAGGUUCUUGCACGAAGGGUCGUAUCGAUUACUAUCAGAGGUUAGACAUUUGGUCAACUUCAAUUGAUAGCUCAACCUAACAUGUAACCUUGCUAUAAAGUUUAAGAAAUUCUUUGUCAUUUGAGGUAUUCUUCUUACUAAUAUCUAAUGACAUGGAUCUUAUUCAAAAUAGAUUUGCUUCUAGGAAUAAAAAAUUUUAAAUUUUCUGUUGUAUAUACAUUUUGAUUUCUUAUACACUUUUGAUGUGAGGAAAAUUCAUGCAUUAAUAUUUUGGAAAAAAAUGAUUAUAAAUUUGUAAAAAAAGUAUUACUUUACCCUCAAACUCCAAACUCAAUUAGUUACAGAUUUGCCUAGCCUCUCCUAUUCGUUUAGUUAAGUGGCAAGUGGCAGCUAGGCCUAAUAGAGAGAGAGAGAGAGAGAGAGAGAGAGAGAGAGAGAGACUUAAAAAGCCAACCAUUGUGACAUUCCAAAAAAAAAACUUAAGACACUCCAAACUCACAAUUUUCCAACCAACUUAAACAAAAUUGCCCUUAACGAGAAUCUCUAAUAAAUUUAAGGUCAUAAUUAAGCAACAUAUAUAUUUUAUUUCUCCAGUAAAGUAUAAGCUCAAUAACGUAUAAUUAGAGAAGGACAAUUUUUAGUUUCUCUUCCAGUUGACUAAAAACAAAGUUUGAAAGGUAAAAUACAAGACACUUUUCGAUUACUAUUAGUUGAAUUAAAAAGCUAAUAAAAAUUAUUAGAAUCCAAUCCAAUAAACCUAUCACUAGAAAUGGUUCCAACUGAAAGUUCAAGUAUUUUGUCCUUAAAAUUUAUUUAAAACCCAAUAGCAAUCCUCAAAAAUUAAUGUGAUGUUAUGUUCUUGAGAACUUCCACUAUAAUAGUAUUCUUGGCCUAAUGCCAUACUUAGCAUCCAAAACAUUUGAUUCUUGAUACGGUUGAUCAAUUAGCUACAACAUUCUCGUUUCGUACAAGAGCUGUUUUUUGUUCUUCAUAGAGACAUCAAUUUUAGGUCGGUGGCAACUAAUCUGAAUUCUUUUACAACUAUGAUUACCUUAUUUGAUUCAGCCUUUGCAAAUCAUUAUAAAUAGCAAACUAGGAUGAUUUGGGAGAGCAAAGAAGGUUAUUGGAGCUAAAAGGCUUAUUGGAGUUAAUAAUGUGAAUCUCCAAUUUAAAGUAGAUUUUAGGAGUAUCAUGGAUUUGAGUAACUUUUCUUUAUGUUGCUCCUAGUUAGAGUUUUUUGUUGAAAAUUGAAGAGAGAAGGAGCUUUUACAUGUCCUGGAUAAGAGUUUUUUUUCUCUCUUUCUUAAUAUUUUAUGAGGUCCAUAUUAUUAUUUAUUAUUUUGUUUCUUUUAAUUUAAUUAUGUCUAGUUAAUUACUUCUUCGUAGGAUUAGAUAGAAUCAAUUGUUCCUUAGUUUAUGAUCUAUCUUUAGUUGAUUGGUGAAUCUUAUCCAUGUUAUUUUGUGUCUUCUCCAUGCUAUUGGUGAAUCUUAUCUAUGAAAAGAGCUCUUUAUUAUGAAACGUCUAUGGUGUUAAUUAAUCAACAAAAGUUAUUAAAUAAUACUAGUUCAAAAAGAUAGAACUUUAACUAGCAACUCAUGAAAGUAUGAAAGUACCUAGAGGACAGUUGUAUAAUCUCUUGAUUUUAAUGAGUCUUUAAUGAGGUUCAAAUCAUGAAAGUAGAUUAAAUCUAGUUGUUGAUAUAGUUGAUUUAUUGACAAAAAUGAUUUUCACAAUAUUAGGAGAUUUAUCCUAGUUUUGCAUAAGAGGUGAUCAAUUGACCAAAAUAUGAUUUAUUGGCUAAGAUAGUUGAGAAAAUAUAGAUACUAAAAGGCAUUUGCCUUUGAUAAUUUUAUUUUGAAUUAGAUUUUGUUCAUUAUUCGAAAUAUUUUUAUUAAUUUGUAGUGUGAUUAAUAGAGGAAUUUGAUAAAAGUUAGUAAUUAUUUAGUUUUCUUUGUGGGAUUUAACACCUAAACACUUUUGUGUUAGCAUAUGAUCUAUGUUCGUGUAGGUAAGAAAGUAGGUUUUAAUAAACUUUCACAACACUUGUAGCGGCUUAAGGUUAAGGUGAUAAAUAGAUCACUUGCCAAUGCAGUUAAAUGAAGCUGUUUUUUAAAGACUAUACAUAGAGGCGGAAGAGGGGAUUUUGGUGUAAACUACUUUUUUGUCACUUUUUGUAUUUCUAUUUUUUACCCUCCUAUUAAAGGGAUAAAAAAUAUCACCAUCUUUCCCAAAAAAAAGAGAAAAAGAUACACAAUCACAUUUAUAAUCCUAAGAAACUUCCAAUAAUUGUUGAUAAACUAAUAAAAAGAUACAUAGUCACAUAUAUAAGCCUAAGAAAACUUCAGUAACUUUUUAUCUUUUCAAAAAUAUAAAAAAAUACUUCCUCCAUCCCAUGUAGAUAGACUCACUUACUUUUGUGUCUAUCCCAUACUAUAGCUCAUUUUCUUCUUCGAAGGGUAGUUAGUUUGUUAUUUACCAUUAUGUCCAUAUUUAAUGUGCACGUUUAUCAACAAAUAUGGUGCUUCAUUAGUCAAAUAUUCUAGUUGGAAUAUGAUAGUGAAAUAAUUGUGCAUGUUAUUUAUUAAUAUUUUAUCUUAAUUUUGGCCAAAUAUUAUGCUAAUUGAUGGAUUUUGCUUAUAUUUGGUGUUUCGUGUUGUUAUAGGAUUUUGGAGUAGAAAAUGGCACUUCAAGUUAAAAUUUUCAGAAGACUAUUUGCUCCAAAACGUGCCCACGCCAGAGAUUGAGAAGUUGAAAAUUGGAGAUGGAACCCGGAAAUUAUCUCUGAAAUUUAGAAUUAUCUUUUGGAUGUUUUGUUAAGAGUUUUUAUCAGAAUAGGGAACUUGUUUAGUUAGUAUUUUAUUUUGGGAUAAGUUAGUUUCAGGUAUGUUUUUGAAGUUGAUUAGGAGAGGAAAUAAAGGAAACAAAUCAACUUACAGAUGGAGACGUUUUCUUGAUAGGCUCCUUGGUGACUUGACAAAAGGGAAUCGUGACUAGGAGUCCAUUCUUUCUUCUUUUUUUGUCUUUUAAAAAUAACAUUGAGUAGGUAUCUUUCUAGUUUACAAGUUUGACAAAAACAAGGGGCCUUUUUGGAACCUGAGUUUUUUGGGAGUUUGUCUAAAACUUUACUGCAGUGCACUGUAGAAGUUUUUGAAAAAUUUUGUAGAAGUUUUUGUAAGGUGAAAAACUUUUUUGUAGAAGUUUUUGAAAUGUUACUGUAGACGUUUUUUGGAUUAUUUUUAGAGGUAUUUUAAAACAUAUUUUUGAGUAUUUUAUAAUUUAUAAUUUUUAUAUUUUUAUAUUUUUAAACAUUUAUGCAUUUAUAAUUAUUUAGAAAUAAAUAUAUUUAUAUAUUUAUAUAAAAAUAUAUAAAUGUGUUAUAUUAUAUAUAAUACAUAAUAUACAUAUAUUUAUAAAUGUAUAAAUGUAUAAUUAAUAUAAAUGUAUAAAUUAUAAAUGAAUAUUAUAUAAAUGUAUAAAUUAUAAUUUAUAAAUGUAUAUGAUGAUUAUGUAUAAAUAUAUUAAUAUAAUUAAUAUAAAUGUAUAAAUGUAUUAAUAUUAUGUAUAAAUAUAUAAUUAAUAUUGUUUAUAAUUUAUAAUUUUUAUUGUUUAAAUAUUUAUAUGCAUUUAUGCAUUUAUAAUACAUUUAUAAAUAUUUAUAAAUAAACAUAUUUAUAUAUUUAUAUAAAAAUAUGUAAAUGUAUUAUAUUAUAUAUAAUACAUAAUAUACAUAUAUUUAUAAAUGUAUAAUUAAUAUAAAUGUAUAUAUUAUAAAUGAAUAUUAUAUAAAUGUAUAAAUUAUAAUUUUUAAAUAUAUAUGAUGAUUAUGUAUAACUGUAUUAAUAUAAUUAACAUAAAUGUAUAAAUGUAUUAAUAUUAUGUAUAAAUGUAUAAUUAAUAUUGUUUAUAGUUUAUAAUUUUUAUUGUUUAAAUAUUUAUAUAUAUUUAUGCAUUUAUAAUACAUUUAUAAAUAAAUAUAUUUAUAUAGUUAUAUAAAAAUAUAUAAAUGUAUUAUAUUAUAUAUAAUACAUAAUAUAAAUAUAUUUACAAAUGUAAUAAUUGUAUAUUAUUAUAAAUGAAUAUUAUAUAAAUAUAUAAAUGAAUAUAUUAUAAAUAUAUAAAUAUAUAAUAUUAUGUAUAAAUGUAUUAAUAUAAUUAAUAUAAAUAUAUAAAUGUAUUAGUAUUAUGUAUAAAUGUAUAAUUAAUAUUGCGUGUUAAUAUUAUGUAUAAAUGUAUUAUGUUAUACAUAAUACAUAAUAUAAUUGUAUAGAAAUAUACAUAAAUAUAUAUACAUAAAUGUGUAAUAUAUAUAAUAUGUAUUAUAUAUAUUAAAUAUAUAAUAUAUAAUCUUUAUAUAAAUGUAUAAUUACAUAUUUAUAUUAAUAUUAAUUUAUAUGGUAUAUAAUAUUUAUAUAAAUAUGUAAAAAUAUAUUUUAAAUAAAAUAAAAUAUUUAUAAUAUGUUUAAAUAAAUAAAUAAAUAAAUAUAUAAUAUUAUAAAUAUAUAAUAUAUAUAAUAAAUUUUUGAGGGUGAGGUACUCAAAUAUUCAAAAAAAAAUUUUGAGGUUACCGGCAGCGCCGGGAGAGGUGGUGGAGGCGGUGUCUGGUGUGGUGGGUUGGGUGAGGGAAGAAGAAAAGUUUUUGAGAAAUUUUUUGUGUAUAGAUUUUUUAAGUGUUUAGGUAAAAAAUUUUGAAAAGUUUGUUGGGGUUCCUGUAACAAAAGUUGUUAAAAAACUAGUAGUUAAAAAACUUGGUAAAAAACUAGGGUGCCAAACAGGCCCUAAAUCUUAUGAGCAUCUCUAGGAUUAUCUACUUUACAUGAGAAGUAGUUAAUGAGCAUGUGACGGCCCCACCUUCCCUUAAGGUGAACCAAAGGGUUCGGCGGACCGCCUGCCCAACUCUCGGCAGGACUCACUCACGCACUCACUCAUAGUUCAAGCAAAAUAACGUGCAUUUAUAGAAAAUGAAUAACAUAUCCAUUUCAACUUAAUAUAUACAUUGAUGCUCAAAUCCAGAUACAAAGUUUUUACACACCAAAAAAAAAACUUCAAAGUGUUUGCAUUUCGAGUACAAUCAACCCUAGUUGGGUACUAGCGUGAGUACAAAAGCAAAACUCGAAACAACUAGACUACGCUAGUCAGUACAUGUCUCAUGCCUCGCUCGUACCCCCUGCAAGGAAAACAAAUGGCGUGGAAUGAGCUAAAAAUCCAGUGAGGUUCCAAAUAACAAAUUGACCAUUUUAAAAACCCAAUACUUAUUAUUCUCACUUCUAAUCUCAUAUUAUUUCUCAUCUAAAAGUUACUCUUAUCUACCAAAUUUGAUCCUCACUCCGUACCGAAUAGUCACACUAUGGAAAAACGUGAAAAUCCUAAUUCGUUCUAACUUGAAAACGAAAAGUGAAACCCUACUUUCUAGGUUCAUUUGCACUUAUUGCGGAGUAAUUGAGUAGUAGGACUAUUAUAAAUUAAUAAUUUUCAAAUAAAACGGGAUUUUUAAGAAAAACAUGAGGGAUUUUACAAUUCCAUAAAUGGAAUUUAGGGUUUCGAUUAAAAUAUAAGAAAUUUGAGAAAACGGUCAGUCACAAGUGAAACUAGGGUUUUGAUUAGACUUUUAGGGUUUCUAGUCUUGUAAAAUAAAAUGAGGUUUUAAAUCAAACCCAUAGAAAUAACUUUAGUUUCUUCUUUAAAACAAAAUAAUGUUUUUUUUAAAAUAAAAAAAAUAAACUAAAGAAACCGUAAUACCAUCUUUGAGACUAAACAAAAGAUGAUCCUAAAAGUUGGGGUAUUAUAAUUUCCAGUCCUUCAAAGAAUUUCGUUCUCGAAAUUCAUACAUGCUCUCCGAAAUAAUAAACAAUAGAAAUCACGAAUCGUACCUUCUACUAUCUCCGAUGGUUCAGGUAGUGCCUGUUGGUCCAAGGCGUACACUCUAACACUCUUGGCUUAGUCCCUCCUACAUUAGCUUGCUCAGGGUUUAGGUGUGAUCUACGUGGACAAGUUGCAAGCUAGUACUCGGUACUACCACAUCAUAAAUAUUUUCCUGCUUUUCGUCAACAAUCAUUCUCCGUAUGAUUAGCCUUCCCACAGUACCUACAAGAUACUUGAGGGGCUGAGGUCUGACCUCCUUGUGAGGCACCUCUUGCUUGCUCCCUACAAUGCGAGACUCCUCUUGGAGUAAUUUCCUUAGAUGUCCUUGAAAUUUUUUCACCACCACCUCCUCGACCCAUCUUAGAGGGUGGCAUAUCUAAAUCACCUUGUCCUUGCCUUUAACUUCCACCAAGCGCACCCCUCCUUUUUGUAUGAAAAACUCUCACUUGUGCCUUAGCAAUUUCUAUUCUUUGGGUCUUCUCCAAAACCUCCGUAAACGUAUUAAUCUGGGCCGCCGCCAAGGCCUCUUGUAUCUCCAUAUUGAGCCCUUGUACAAACCUCCUUAUCCUUCUUUGUUCCGUGGCUAUCAAUUCAGGAGUAAAUUUAGACAACUUCGUAAAUUGGGUUUCAUACUCAGAUACACUUAAAGUUCCUUGUCGAAACUUAAUAAAAUCGUUCUCUCUCUUCUCCUGGACGAUAGGUGGGAGGUAUUUCUCGUUAAACUCCUGUACAAAGUUCACCCAAGUCCAUGCAGUCCCCCCUCUUUCCUAUUUAGCCCUAAUUACAUUCCACUAGGCUCUGGGUGGGCCUUCGAACUGAAAAACGGCAAAUUGUACUUGCCUAUCCUCUGCAUAGUUUAACGCGGCAAAGAUGUUGAUCAUGGCUUCUAGCCAUCUCUCGGCUUCCUCUGGGUCUGGUCCUCCCAGGAACUUAGGUGGAGAGAACUUCUGGAAUCUCUUUAAGGCCUUAUCUUGCCCCAUAUUAGGGUCCCUAGGUUGAUUUACAGGGGUUUGACCCUGUUGUUCCACUAAUCGGGCCAGAAUAUUGGUUAUUUGUUGGAUUGCAGUUGCCACUUGAUCUCCCCCUACAACUUGGGGUCCAGGUUGUGGCUCAAUCGUUGCCUCUCCCUCCCCUCUCGAUUCUCGCACCGGUUCCUGUGCUUGUCUACCCCCACGGCCACGACUAGGACCGCGUCCUCGGUUAGUUCCCCUGAUUUGAUUUCUUCUACCCUCCAUGUUUUGGAUUUAACCAACUAUAGACAUAUAAACAAGGUAAGAUAUGGCUCAUGUAGCACGUUUCAAAAGGAUAAAUAGAGGCAAUAAAAUACAUAAUAAACAGGUUCUUUAUAUACAUAGCAAACAAGUCAUAUAACCUAUAGGACAUUAACCCUAAGUAUUGCUCAGGCACUACACUUAAUCAAAAUUCGAAGCACGUGAAUAAUAAGGAUCCCAAAUCCCAUGAAUAUCUUCAAUAUAUUUCAAGUCCAGACUAUUCGCAUUCCCCGUGCCUUUGCUUUCGCCAUCCAACCUAUCCCAAUAUUACGCGAGCUCUCAACUUAUCGUAAAGGUAUCACACUUUGAUACUCGGGUACAAGAAUCCGAAAAUAUGAUAAUUCACCAUUCAAGCUGGCCAGGCUCAAGAGCAAAUCACCCGUAUUAGAGAUUCCUACCCAACAUACAUAUCUAAGGUCCCCAACAAUAGACAAUUGUUCCACACUUAACAAGUCAAUCCCCACAGUCCGAGAACCCUCUCCCGACACGAGCUCAAUAGGAGCUCUGAUACCACCUGUGACGGCCCCACCUUCCCUUAAGGCGAACCAAAGGAUUCGACGAACCGCCUGCCCAACUCUCGCCAGGAGUCAUUCACGCACUCACUCAUAGUUCAAGCAAAAUAAAGUAUAUCCAUAGAAAAUGAAUAACAUAUCCACUUCAACUUAAUAUAUACAUUGAUGCUCAAAUCCAGAUACUAAGUUUCUACACACCAAAAAAAAAAAAACUUCAAAGUGUUUACAUUUCGAGUACAAUCAACCCUAGUCGGGUACUAGCGUGAGUACAAAAGCAAAACUCGAAACAACUAGACUACUCUAGUCUGUACAUGUCUCAUGCCUCGCUCGUACCCCCUGUAAGGAAAAUAAAUGGCGUGAAAUGAGUUAAAAAUCCAGUGAGAUUCCAAAUAACAAAUUGACCAUUUUAAAAGUAUGAAUAUCAAUGUAGCAAGUUAAUGGCAUCAAAAGUUCAUAAGAGUGAACAAUAAUACUUCAAGUAGCAAAUCUCAAAGUGAGCGAGUGUAAAAGUUUUUCAGAAGAAUCAAUAAUCCAAUAAGCAAUAAUCAUUCCAAAGUAUAAGGAUACGGAAGGCUCUCAGGAGCCAAAUUCCCAAUGCAUUAUCAGAGCUUGAUCAAGUAAUAGUUGACACUCCGUCAACCUUCAAGUAAGUAACCAAUCCAGUAGAGCACCACUUACACUACUCUCCAUCCACCAUUCACACCCCCUAUUGGGCCCAAAAUCCUCAAUAAACACGGGUGGUAAUACUCGAGUAUACCGAUUAGUCGAGAAGAUAUCACUCCAUUCGACAAAACAAGAGACCUAGGGUUCGUUACCCAAUCGACCAAACCCUUGCCAGCUCGACUUGAGUAACUCACCACAGGGUUUCUGGAAUUCCAGGAAGUACGCACCUCAUAAACAAGUAUGUCAAGUCAAUUGCAACAAUAAACAAGUAUAUAUCACGUAAGGGCAAGUGCAAUAAAGUACACUCUCGCCCUAAUAGUUCACGUAUACAACAUGUAAUCACAUUGGUCACGUAUCAAAUACAAGUAUCAAGUUCAAUUCGGUAUUUGAAAGUACUCACCAAAAGAUAUAGUGCCUUUACUGGUCACUUUCCAGUGGUACUCCGGGUUUGGAGUCCAAAUUUGCGAUAAAACUCAAUUUGAGAAUUUUGAAACAUGACUAAGAUUUGAAACUUAGACGUUUCAUUCAAUAAGAAUCAAGAAAUGGAAAUUCACUUGGAGAAUAGUCGUAAAACAGUUGCUCGCUUUUCAAACUGAAAAAUUUUGUAACAUGCUUACUUGGAAAUAACUUUUGAGUCGAAAGUACAAGGAAAACGGAUUUAUAGUGAUUAUUACCGCUUUUCCUAAGGGUACAAGUUCGGCUAGUUUCUAACGUAUAACCCUCGAUAAACAAAGUAGCAAAUGUCCUAGAUGGUUCAAGUGAUAUUUAUUUAUCAACUUUACCCAAGUCGCAAGUGUAUUUCUCUAGUUCUCGAGCGUAAAUUUGGGCAGCAUGCCCUUUGUAUUUUCCUAUUUCCAGCCACUUUUGGCUUCAUUAUUUUCCUCAUUCAACCCCAAAGUUACACACACAACAAUCUAAUUUCAAUAGCUGUUCAAUAGGCUCAAGACAAUACAAGGACAAAAAUCAAGCUAACAACAAGUGCGGAAAUGAGGUUUCACAAAAGACAGAUUUGACGUGUUUUUACGUAAUGGACACAACCGAAGCUACGCUCAUCGGAUUGAAGUACAACUUAUACCGUUUCGAAGCUAAGAUGAAGGCCUACAAUUUUCAUGAAGAUCACUUAGUCCAAUUUCCAGUGUAACCCAGUCAAAUUCCCAGUUCACAGAACCAAAUUCCAUCUAAUCGGCUAAUUAACCGUACUACUUUCAAAUGGCCAUAUCUCAGGCUACCAAAGUCCGUUUAAGAUGUUUUUGGAGGCGUUGAAAAGCUAAGACAAUGUAUUAAAACUUUCAUAUUUGGAAAAUGGCUAAAUCAGCAUGGAUCAUAGUGAAUAGACACGGUCAAAGGGAUAAACUGUCUAAAACGGAUCACUGGAUGCAUCCUAGGGCAGUGAGGGUAUUUUAGUCUUUUCAUAUGCUAAGUUGCUCCGAUUGAGCUGAACUUUUGUAGGAAACCAUAAAAUAUCAUUUCCUACAACUUUCAUGUUUUGUGCUAAGGCUGGUUCGAUCUCUAACAUACUCAAACAGAAACGGGCAGAACUAAACCAUAAGAAACCGAAAUUCUGGUAAUUUGCUCCAUUCAAGGUAUAACUCUCAUUUUAAGCUUGAAACCAACACCACAACCUCAUAUACAAGCUUAUAUACAUCAUAUACCAUCCAUACAGCAAGUAUAAGAAGAAAAUCAUUCAAACCCAAAACUGAAAUUUUACACUACAAAGCUGGAAUUGACCAAAUCUACUACUAAACCAUGAGAUCUACCCAACAAACCAUAACUUCACUUGUCAACCAUUAAGUAGUACAACCAUGAACUAAUACCUUCCUUACCUAGUAUUGGAGAAGCACAACAGUCUCUAGGAAGCUUGAACGACGAAAACUCUCCACUCCAAGAUGGCAAUCCACCUUCCUAAGCAACUUUCAUGGAUUAUUUGGUGAAUCUAUCGGUUAGUUUGCAAGAUUGAGCAAGAAAUCAAGAUGGAAUGAAGUGUUUCUUUCUCUCCUUUUCUCUCCUCACUCUAACGGCCAAAUGUACAGAAAUGAAGCCCAAGGAAAGAUAAGAAAGCAAGAAAAAGGCUUGGUCAAAGUUUAACACAUGUCACAAUUUGAUUGGUGGUCAACAUUUUCUUUUCUCUCUCUCUUAUUUUUUGUCCAACUUUUCGGCUGCUUUAUCAGAUAUUUUGGGGCUGAUUUGACUCAAUUAAUAGCAAGGGUAUUAAGGUAAUAAAGUGGUGUUCACGUGGUGCACUCACUCGAUAACAAACGGUGCACGUCAGUUCCACCCAUUUUUCCUUAACUCGCAUGUACUAGGAUUUUUAUUUAUAAUUCACUAACUUAUUAUUGUCACUUCUAAUCUCAUAUUAUUUCUCAUCUAAAAGUCACUCUUACUACCAAAUUUGAUCCUCACUCCGUACCGAAUAGUCACACUACGGAAAAACAUGAAAAUCCUAAUUCGCUCUAACUUGAAAACGAAAAGUGAAACCCUACUUUCUAGGUUCAUUUGCACUUAUUGCGGAGUAAUUGAGUAGUAGGACUAUUAUAAAUUAAUAAUUUCCAAAUAAAAGGGGAUUUUUAAGAAAAAUGUGAGGGGUUUUACAAUUCCAUAAAUGGAAUUUAGGGUUUCGGUUAAAAUAUAAGAAAUUUGAGAAAACGGUCAGUCACAAGUGAAACUAGGGUUUUGAUUAGACUUUUAGGGUUUCUAGUCUUGUAAAAUAAAAUGAGGUUUUAAAUCAAAUCCAAAGAGAUAACUUUAGUUUCUUAUUUAAAACAAAAUAAUGUUUUUUUUUAAAAUAAAAAAAAAUAAACUAAAGAAACCGUAAUACCCUCUUGAGACUAAACAAAAGACAAUUCUAAAAGUUGGGGUAUUACAGAGCAUCUCUUGACUAUCGAGAAAUUAAGGAAAGAUUAGUGGUUCGACGGUUGUUGAACUGCUAUAACCAAUUUAUUUGUGAAAAUAUGAGUUAUUUUCUAGUAUCAGUGAUUAAUUGAGUUGAACUAUUGCCAAGAUUAUUUCCUUGACUUGAUUUUGAUAACUAAUUUAUUCUUUAAUUUAUAUUAUUGCAUUUUACUAUUUAAUUUGAUUUAAUUAUAAUUUCAAAGAGAUUCUACAACUUCCCCCCUUGAUAUUCAUCGCAUUUCUCUAUGAAUAAUAAAUUUACCAAUUCCCCGAGGAGACAACCCUACUCAUCACUAUACUCAUUAACUUUUGGGGAGUUGGUAAUUUUAUUUUUGGUGGUUUGACACCCACCAAAUUUUGACGCCCUUGCCGGGGAACUAAUGCUUGAAGUGAUUUGUUACUUUACAUUUCGAUCAUUCUCUAUUUAAUGCCUCGAUUUUCCCGCACAAGAAAACUUAAGUUUGAUACGGAGAUUGAGAAAAAAGCUAAGAGAUUGGCUAAGGAAGCUAAACUGCGUAAGCAAUAAGAUUCAUCACCAUUUUCUUCUAGAUUUGACUUGGUUGUUGACUUAAGCAGAUCAUUUCGUGAUUUGAAAAAUGACGUAAGUGGAUUCAAGGAAGUGAUGGCAACUCAAAGGAUUUUGAGGGAACUUGCAACUCCAAAUGUUAACCAACAGCCAUUAUGCAUCACAUAUCCUGAAACUGAGGAAGCUUUUGAACUUAAAUCUAGUUUAAUUCAUUUAUUGCCUAUUUUUCAUGGUAUUGUAGGUGAAGACCCAUACAAACAUUUGAAUGAGUUUCAUGUAGUGUAUUCGACUAUGAAACCUCAAGGUGUUAUGGACGAACAAAUCAAGCUACGAGCUUUUUCUUUUUCUUUAGCGGACAAGGCUAAAGAUUGGUUGUAUUACUUGCCACCAAGAAUUAUAACCACAUGGGAAGGACUUAAAAAGCAGUUCUUUGAGAAGUUCUUUCCGGCUUAUAGGGUUGCUAACAUUAGAAAAGACAUAUGUGGUAUAAGGCAGACCACAGGAGAAUCCCUCUACGAAUAUUGGGAAAGGUUUAAACAACUGUGUACUAGUUGUCCAUAUCACCAGAUAUCAGACCAACUAUUGAUUCAAUACUUUUAUGAAAGAUUGUCAGCAAUGGAUAGAAGCAUGAUAAAUGCAGCUAGUGGUGGUGUUCUUGUCAAUAAAACAACAGAUGAAGCCACAAUAUUGAUUUCUAAUAUGAUGAAAAAUUCUCAACAAUUUGGUGCUAGGAUAGAUGGAGUGACUAGAAGGAUAAAUGAGGUAAAUCAUUCUGACCUAGAAAAUCAACUAUCUGAACUAACUGCUUUGGUUCGCCAAAUAGCUGUAGGACAAUUGCAGCUAGCUAAAGUAUGUGGGAUAUGUACUACUCCCGGACACCCAACUAACUUGUGUCCGACUCUUCAAGAAGAUUCUCAUGAGCAGGCAAAUACUAUGGGAGGUUUUCAGGACCACCGUAAAGGAGGAAUGACCUGUAUGCACCUACAUAUAAUUCCGGGUGGCGAAAUCACCCCAACUUCAGUUAUGCUUCAAUACCGCCAGGUUUUCCACAACCCUUUCAAGUGAGACCACCAGGGCAGCAACCAUCAACUUCUAAUACAGGUAUGUCACUUGAGGAUAUGGUUAAAUUCCUUACUAAUAGUACUUGUCAAAUGCAACAGGAGUCACAAAAAUUUCAACAAGAAAUCCAAGCCAGCAUUCGAAAUUUGGAGACACAAGUGUCACAACUUAAAUUUUCAAUGAAAAAUUUUGAAAAUAAUAAAGGUAAAAUACCAUUUCAAGUUAUUCUGAAUCCAAAGGAGAAUGCAAAUACAAUGACCCUCUGUAGUGGCAAAGAAAUACAAUCCUCAGUAUCGCAAGCAAGGAAAUUAAUGAAGAAAAAGUGAAUGAAGAGCUUGAGAAGAAAGAGCCUUCAACUGAAAAGGUAAGACAUAAAAAUGAUGUUUUUAAAAUACUUGAAAUUGAUCCUUCUUUUCUUGGCAGGAUGGCUAAAACAAAGAAGGAGGAAUCUAAGAAGGAAAUCUUGGACACAUUUUGAAAAAAUUGAGAUUAACAUCCCUUUGCUUGAUGCGAUUAAGCGGUUAUCGAAAUAUGCAAAAUUUCUGAAGGGAUUGUGCACUAACCAGAACAAGCUUAAUAAUGAUGACAAAAUAAGAGUUGGUGAGAACGUGUCACUUGUCCUCCAAAGAAAGUUGGCUCAAAAGUGCAAGGAUUUAGGUAUGUUCACAAUACCAUACAUUAUAAGCAGCAAAAGAAUAGAAAGAUGUAUGCUUGAUUUAGAGGCAUCCAUUAAUGUUAUGCCUUUAUCAAUAUUUAAAGCCUUAAAUUUAGGAUCUCUUAAGGAUACAAGGGUAGUAAUUCAACUAACAGAUAGAUUUAAUAUUUAUCCAGAAGGCUUAGUUGAGGAUGUUUCAGUGAAAAUUAAUGAAAUUAAUUUUUUUUUGUUGAUUUUUACAUUGUUGACAUUGAUGAUGACUAUUCUGUCAAUUCAGUUUUAAUUCUCUUAGAUAGGCCAUUCAUGCGUACUGUUAGAACAAAAAUUGAUUUGCAUGAAGGUACUUUAUCUGUAGAGUUUGAUGGAGACAUAGUUACUUUUAAUAUUUUUGAUGCAAUGAGAAAUUGAGAGGACAUUGAAUGUAGUAAUUAUGUUAGUACUACUAAUUCCAUUGUACAAACUAACUUCGAGCAGAAUUUUAUGGAAGACAAGUUGGAAUUUGUGUUACAGCAUAGCAAGACAGGAGAGAAAAUGUAACUCGAGGAUGAGAAAGCUAUACAAGAAGCAAUUAUGGCUCUACAAUCACUUCCUGAAUUUCCUAACAGGUUAGUUAACUCAUUUUUGCAAUUCUCCAUCGCUAUUGAGAAAAUUUUACCUUCUGUUGAACAUGCAUCCAAGUUGGAUUUGAAAGAAUUACCAGGGCAUUUGAAAUAUGCUUAUCUGGGAGAGAAUCAAGCCUUGCUAGUCACUAUUGCAAGUGAUUUGACAAUGGUUCAAGAAGAAAAGCUCUUACGAGUUUUGCGAGAUUUCAAAAAUGGACAUUGACAGAUAUCAAAGGUAUUAAUCCUUCUAUUUGCAUGUAUCAUAUUUUACUUGAAACAAAUGCAAAGCUAAAAAGGGAGCAGCGAAGGAAGCUUAAUCUAGUAAUGAAAGAGGUAGUGAUGAAGGAAAUUCUUAAACUAUUGGAAUUAGGAAUUAUUUAUCCUAUUUUCGAUAGUGAGUGGGUAAGUUCAAUGCAUGUAGUUCCUAAAAAGAUAGGAAUUACACUUGUUCAAAAUGAGAAAAAUGAGUUAAUGCCAAUGAGACUUUAGAAUAGUUGGAAAAUGUGUAUUGAUUUCAGAAAAUUGAAUGCAGUAACAAGGAAUGACCACUUCCCCUUACCUUUUAUUAACGAGAUGCUAGAAAGUUUGGCAGGUAAAUGUUUCUUUUUGUUUUCUUGAUAGAUAUUUUGGAUAUUAUCAAAUUAGUGCUGUUCAAGAAGACCAACAUAAAACUACUUUUACUUACUCUUUUGGAACAUUUGCUUACUGUCGCAUGCCUUUUGGAUUGUAUAAUGUCCCAAAAAUAUUUCAAAGAUGCAUGAUGAGUAUUUUUUUUUACUUGAUUGAGAAUUGCAUUGAAAUAUUCAUGGAUGAUUUUACUGUUUAUGACAAUUCUUUUGAUCAAUAUUUACAUCACUUAACAAAAGUUUUGAAAUGGUGCAUUGAAACCAACUUGAUUCUUAAUUAUGAAAAACGGCACUUCGUGAUGAAAGAAGGGAUAGUUUUGGGCCACGUUGUUUCAUCUAGGGGUAUUGAAGUUGAUAAAGUCAAUGUAGAUUUAAUUACUAGUUUACCUUACCCUACUAAUAUAAGGGAGAUUUGUAGUUUCCUUGGUUAUGCAGGAUUUUACAGGAGGUUCAUUAAAGAUUUUUCUAAAAUUGUACAGCCACUAUCUCGUCUACUUCAAAAGGAAGUGGCAUUCCAUUUUGGAGAUGAUUGUAAGUUGGCAUUUGACAAGUUAAAGACAAUGUUGACCACGCCACCAAUUAUUCAGCCUCCAAAUGGGAGUUUAUCUUUUGAACUCAUGUGUGACGUGAGUUAAUAUGCCAUUGGUGUUGUACUAAGGCAAAGAAGUGGGAAGUAUAGCCAUGUCAUCUAUUAUGCGUCAAAAACAUUGACCCUAACUCAAUGCAACUAUACCACCACGGAGAAGAAGCUUUUGACAAUUGCUUUUGCUUUUAAGAAAUUUAGAUCAUAUCUGUUGGGAUAAAAAAUAAUAGUUUUUCUGAUCAUGCAGUUUUAAAAUAUCUUUAGGCAAAGAAAGAGUACAAAUCGAGACUCAUUCAUUGGAUACUUUUACUCCAAGAGUUUGAUUGAGAGAUCAAAGAUCGUAAAGGAGUUGACAAUUUUGUGGCAGAUCACUUGAGUAGAUUGAUUCGAGAAGAGUAAAUCGUAUCCAUAUCUAAGAUAUUUUCUGAUGAGCAUUCAUUUCAUCUUAAGAGUAAGGAACCUUGGUAUGCGGAUAUUAUUAAUUUUCUAGUGAUUCAUAAAUUUUCAAGUGAUAUGAGUAAGGUUAAGAGGGAUAAAAUAAUAAAAGAUUCUAGUUAUUAUAUAUGGGAUGAGCUAUAUUUAUAAAAAAAAAUAGGUUCAGAUCAGGUCAUCCGUUGAUGUGUACCUAAUGAAGAGAUUCCCUCCAUACUUAUACAUUGUCAUAAUUAUGCAUAUGGUGGACAUUUUGGCCAAAAAAGAAUGGUUAGGAAAAUUCUUAAUUAUGAAUUUUAUUGGCAAACUUUGUUUAAAGAUGCUUACUUAUUUUGCAAAAGUUGUGAGAAAUGUCAAAAGGUUGGAAGUUUAUCUCACAAGGAUGAAAUGUCUCAGAUUUCUAUUUUAUUUUGUGAAAUUUUUGAUGUCUGCGGUAUGGACUUUAUGAGACAUUUUCCUAACUCUUUUGGUUUUCUCUAUAUUCUGUUGGUUGUGGAUUAUGUAUCAAAAUGGGCAAAACCGAAGGCCACCCGAACUAAUUAUUCCAAAGUUGUUGCAGGAUUUCUCAAAUCUAACAUUUUUCGUAGGUUUGGCAUUCCAAGGGUAGUCAUUACUAAUCAAGGUACCCAUUUUUGUAGUCGCACUAUUGAAACUUUAAUGCGCAAAUAUGGAGUACAUCAUGGAGUUGGCACAACCUAUUACCCUCAAACCAACGAGCAAACUGAAGUUUCGAAUCGAGAGAUCAAAAAUAUUUUGAAAAAAACGGUCAAUCCAAAUUGCAAAGAUUGGAGUUUAUGAUUGGAUGAUGCAUUAUGAGCGUACCGCACAACUUAUAAGACACCAAUUGGAAUGUCACCAUAUAAGUUGGUUUAUGGUAAGAUGUGUCAUUUAUCAGUUGCACUUGGACAUCGUACAUUUUGGGUAGUUAAAUAGUGUAAUUUGAAUGCGGAUACAACUGGAGAGGAAAGGAAGUACCAACUUCAGAAGUUGGAAGAAAUUCACCUGGAAGCAUAUGAUAAUGCAAUGCUCUACAAAGAAUGCACUAAAUACUUUCAUGAUAGAAUGUUGCAUCAUAAGUAAUUUUCUAUAGGUCAAAAGGCAUUAUUGUUCAAUUCAAGGUUAAAAUUCAUGCAAGGUAAGUUAAAAUCUCGAUGGAUUGGACCUUAUGUAGCUAUGAAUAUUUUUCCUAAUGGUGUUAUUGAGAUCCAAAGUUUAGAAACUGGCAAAAUCUGUAAGGUUAAUGGUCAUCGUCUUAAGCAUUUUUUUGAUGUUUCUGAAAUUGCUACUAUUGAGGAAAUUCACUUGAUUGAUCCAGUCUAUGAAUAAUUGUGCAGAAUUUGGACUAUGUCUAACCACGUUAAAGAAAAGCGCUACUGGGAGGCAACCCAAUUAUUUGAAUUAGUUUAUUUUUAAUUUAAUUUUCUUUGUUAUUGUUUAUUUUUGUUCUUAUUUUUGUAUUAAAAUAAUAUUUUUUCUUUCUUUUUGGCAGGAAAUGAGGUUCCAUAAGACGUGGUGCACACACGGUGUAAAUGGAGAAAAAAUUUUAAAAGUUGGUAAGUUGAAAUUUAUAGCACGUGCCACGCCUUGAUCCAGUAAUGUCCAAAGAAAAAUGUCAGAAGACUUUGCUCUAAAAAAACAUGCCCCACAUUUUAUAAAGAAGGGUUUUCUGAUUAAAAUGUCAAAAGACUAAGUUACAAGGACCGCGGCCCACACUAUAAAGAAAAAAGUCUUCUGUUGUUCUUAAAAAAAAAGUAACGGAUUUUGGAUAAUUAGUGUCAGUAGAAGUCCAGACUUUCAUAUGGACUAAAAUAUGGCGCCGGAUUUCCAUGGAUAUAUAUUCACUUAAAAAAAAGGGAGACUAGAGUCUAGUUGUAGCACGUUUUCAUCUUUCCUUUUUCUCAUUUCAUUAGGAUCGGCCAUGUUGAAGGCAUUGGGAUUAUCGGUGUUCCAUUUUUUUAAGAAAAUAGAUUCUUGUCUUUUCUUUCUUUUUCUUAUUCUUUCUAUCUUUCUUUUGUUUUCCGACUUGAACAACAAGUGUGACAUGUCCAGGUUCAGUCAUGAGUCCACCAAACUCCCUUUUCCUAUUGUGCAUGAGAUUCCUUUUUCUUUUCAAAUACAAUUUUCAUGUUGCUUGACAGUCAGAACCUUUGGAUUUGGUUUGUUUAGAAAGGAUGAGCAUCAUUGAGUAUAAAGAUGAGUAUUAUCAGUUUACACCACUGGAAGAGAUUAGACUCACAAUCAGGCAGGAUCCCAAGUCUUUCGGUUCUUCCCGUACUUCUCGAGUUGUAGAUGGAACUGACUCCUCAAUUGUAGCACCAUCUUCUUCUUCUUUUGAUGAUCAAUUUAAGCAAUUGAAUAGUCGUCUCUCCAGGAUUGAGCAACAGAUGUUGAGAAUGGAAUGAAACUUGGAUGCUUACUUCGCUUCAGUUAGAUUCACACGUAUCACUUCCCUUCACACUUAGUGCUUGUCAAUACUCACUCUCCUUUGUCAGGGAAGUCCUCAUAUUUUCCUUUUCUAUUUACUUUCAUACAUUGAGGAUAAUGUAUCGUUUAGGUGUGGGGGAGGAGAAUAAUUAUGUAACUUAAUUUUUUUUAUUCACUCGUGGUUUUUCUUGUUUCAAAAAAAAGAAAAAAAAAUCCUUGUUUUGAGAUUUUUUAGUUCAAUUUGUGGUUCCGUGUUUAGCUUUUAGUGUUUGAAAAAAAAUAAAUAAAUAAUUGUGUUAACAUUUUUUUGUUAGUUUAUCCUUAUUCAUUAUAUUAUCAAGUUGAAAUAUGAUUAAGAUGCAAGUAUUAAUAGUUGAAUUCUCUUUGCUAGCAUUACUAUCUUAUUGAUUUGAUGAUGGAUUCGAAUAAUGAAUGUACAAGGUUUAACUCAAUUUUAAUAAGUCAUUGUGAGUUUUGGACCUUAUGAGCAUUUUAUUAUAUCUUACUUCCUUGUCUUGUUGAGUGAUAUAUCACACAUGGUUUGAAUAUUCUAGAACUUGCAUUGUUAUACAUGUUGAGACUACAUUUUGAAUUUGUGUAUUUAAAUGAGGGCAAUAGGUUUAACCCCUUUUGACUUUCUAAAAACCCGCCUUGAGUAUAUUAUCUUUAGUUAAUCAUGUGAAACUUAGCCCUUUUCUUUGUUAUGUUAUCCUCAAUAUAGCCCUUGAGCAUUUAUUAUUAGACUUUGUGACUUUGGAACCUUGCAUCAAAGGAAUGUAUUGAUUAGUUCCAUGAAACUUUGUGUACCCCUAUAAAUUGGGAAGUUUGAAAGAAAAGUUGAAUUGGAUAUUGAAAGAGAAUCAAGUUAUUGCUUGUAGCCAAGUAAAAAAAAGAAAAAGAAAAGGAAAUAAACAUGAAAAAAGGAAAAAAAAUGGAAAGUAAAAAAAAAUGAAAAAAAAAGAAAAAUUGCAAAUUUUUGAAUUUGUACUUCGCUUGGCAGGUUGUGCAGAAAUUUGUUGAAGUAAUGCAAGUUCGAACCAACUUGAAUAUGGAAGUACAUGUAGUUUUUGGGAUUUGAAUUCAUGCAAUUAGUUCAUGCAUUUCCUUUGAUGUAUUUUCACCUAAAUUCCAUUUUUGUUUAAUCAUUACUCAAGCCAUAUUACAUCCCUGUUAAAGUCCCUUGGAUUUUUGUAUUGAAUUCAUAUUUAGUGGUAAAUAUGUGAUAAAUUUGCAAACUUAUGGUAAUUUUAUUCCAUGAUGUGAUUUGAGUGUUCAAUGAACGCCUAAAUAUUUUGAGUGCAUAGAGUGAUAUUCUAGUAAGAGUAAUUAAACCUUGUGCAUUUUGAUUUUGAAAAAAAAUGAUCAAUAAGAUGGGAUAUUGGUGUUAGUAUUUGAUAAUUCUUGCUAUGAAAUGCUUAUUGUUUUAAUUGAAUUUUGACUUGAUUUUAAUGAAUGGUGUCUAGGAAGUUGUAUGUUUCAGGACAAACAUUGCUUAGGUAUGAAGGAAAUUUGAUAGUGAGAAAAUUGUGCAUGUUAUUUAUUAAUAUUUUAUCUUAAUUUUGGCCAAAUAUUAUGGUAAUUGAUGGAUUUUGCUUAUAUUUGGUAUUUUGUAUUGUUAUAGAAUUUUGGAGUAGAAAAUGGCACUUCAAGUUAAAAUUUUCAGAAGACUGUUUGCUCCAAAGUGUGCCCACGCUAGAGAUUGAGAAGUUGAAAAUUGGAGAUGGAACCCGGAAAUUAUCUCUAAAAUUUGAAAUUAUCUUUUGGAUGUUUUGUUAAGAGUUUUUAUCCGAAUAGGGAACUUGUUUAGUUAGUAUUUUAUUUGGAAUAAGUUAGUUUCAGAUAAGUUUUUGAAGUUAAUUAGGAGAGGAAAUAAAGAAAACAAAUCAAUUUACGAUUGGAGAUGUUUUCUUGAUAGGCUCCUUGGUGACUUGAUAAAAGGGAAUCGUGACUAGGAGUCCAUUAUUUCUUCUUUUUCUGUCUUUUAAAAAUAACAUUGAGUAGGUUUCUUUCUAAUUUACAAGUUUUACAAAAACAAGACUUGUAGAAAAACUUUCAUGGAGAUUUAUGGCAGUGUUUUCUUCAUGGAGCAGAGCUAAAUUUAUAUGUAGUUGAGGAGUGAUCAAUGUACGGUGUUAUGAUCAAUUGUAAGAUCUUUUAAUUUUUUGUGUUCUUAAUAUUAUAUGUUCAUGAGUAUUUAAUUAGUUCCUAUAUUUCACAAGCUACUAUCAUUUGGGUUUAGUUGAAUAAUUCGGCCAACUAUUCAAUUGUUUGAAUGAUUUAAUGCCGAUUAAGACGUCAACUUUGUAAUACUUGAUAGUUUAAUAUUAGUGGCAGAUGGCGCAAUUUCAUUACUUCACAAGUAGUCGAAUUUGUGCUGUGGAAAUAAUUAAAUCUAGUUUAAAUGAACUCGCAUGUGUGUUUGUUAACUAGAAUUGGAUCUCUCUAAUAUUUAAGGUUGUGAAUAGAUUAAAUCCUAUGAGCGUCUCUAGGAUUAUCUAUUUUACAAGGAAAGUAGUUAAUGAGCGUCUCUUGACUACCGAGAAAUGAAGGAGAGAUUGGUGGUUCGACGGUUGUUGAACUGCUAUAACCAAAUUAUUUGUAAACAUAUGAGUUAUUUGAGUUGAACCGUUGCCAAAAUUAUUUCCUUGACUUGAUUUUGAUAACUAAUUUAUUCUUUAAUUUAUAUUAUUGCAUUUUACUAUUUAAUUUAAUUUAAUUAUAAUUUCAAAGAAAUUCUACAAUUUCCCCCUAUGAUGACCCCACCUCCCCCAAAGACGAACCAAAAGGGUUCGACGGAUCACUUGUCCAACUCUCGCCAAGACUCUCUACAGUCCUCAAAUAAACUACAAUGUAAAUAUUAAAUAUUACAUCAAAUAUUCCACGAAUUUACAUACCACAAGUGUAUUGAAAUUCAAAAUAUACAUGAGAUAUUCCAUUCAAUCACACUAAUAAGUUAAUACAAGUGCUUCCUUUGCCUCGAACCUUGUGGAGAGAAAAUAAAUAUUUUGGGGUGAGCUAGAAGCUCAACGAGUAUCCAGUAAAAAUCAAUAAUCAAAUAAGUUUCAUAAUAGUGCAUUUAGAUGAUAUCAUGAAUCAAUGAUCAAAUGUAAGUUUAUUGCUCUUGUGAGUCAGUGAAAUCAUUGUAUUUAAACAUCCAACGCUCAAAUAGAUCAAGUAACAGUCAAGCAAUACAAAGGAGCCAUCGGUGCUCCAACAUUCAAGGCAAGUCAAGUGUCAUUAAGGUGGAGACGUUAGUGUUAAGUACAAAACUUCCAAACACUCAUUUGAGCCAAAUCAUUGCAUGGCACAUACGCAAGCACACAUGAUAUGCAAUCGAGUAAACAGUGCAAGAAACAGUUCGAAAAGUAUCUUUGGAAAUAGUUUUGGAAUCACUCACCAACCACAACUUAUGAUCCUAUUCCAUCAUAGAUAGUUUCCUUACUCAAGUCCAAGUCCUAGAUCACAAAUAUCAUGUCAAGCAAAAGAAAUUCUAAAAUCAUCAAGUUCCUCUCACCUUUUGGCAUUUUAAUCACAACUGAAGCUACACUUAUCAGAUUGAGAUGAAUCUUAUGGCGUUUUGAAACUAAGACAUAGGCCUACAUUUAUUAUGAAGACUUCCAAAGCCAAAUCAUGCAUUUUCAUGAUCAAAAAUUGAAAUCUCAAAGAAAAUAAAAAGCUAUUGGUUGAACAGGGCAUUUGGACAGUCAGGGGUAUUUUAGUCAUUUUAUAAGUUACAGUACUCUGAUUGAGGUGAAAGUUUUUGGGUAGAAAGCUAACUCAAAUCCAUAUAACUUUCAUGUUUUGAGCAAGAACUAAUUUGGCCUUUAUCAUGGACGAAUAUGCAAUUCAAGCGGUGAGUGCAAAUCUGGAAUAAAGCUGGCAACAAAGAAAUAAUUGGGAAACAAGAGAUGUCUUCAACAAAACUUAACUUCCAUGGCUCAAAUCCAACAUACAAUCGUAUAAACUUAAGUAUCUUCAAAAAUUAGUGGGUUACUAGUACUUUUACCUCAUUUUUCUAUCAAAAUCUAAGAGGAAAGCCACCAAGAAGCUCAAGAAAGUUCUUCCUCCAAGGCUCCUCUCCAAGCUUGACUCAAGAGUUUAUGGAGCAAACAUGUUUCCUCUCUUGUUUGAUCAAGAAAUAAUGGCUGGAAAAUGAAGCUUUUCCUCCCUCUCCUCUCUCUAUCAUCAGGCCACCAAGAAGGAAAAAUGGAAGAAGAUGGAACAAGUUGGUAGCUUCUUUGGUUUAUAAAGAAAAUGGGUUGGAUUAUAAAGAAAAUAGGUUGGUCAAGCCUUGAAUGGAAUUUUGACAAAUGUCAAUUGGUAAUUCCUUCCCUUCAAAAUAUCUUUGAAAUCUUGCCAAUAAACCCUUCAUUUCCACUCAAAUAUAGUUUGUACAUCCAAAUAAGUUUGACUAGUUCAAUUAAACCCUUGCAAAUAUUUUUAAAAUUAUUGGACAAAAACAAGAAGGUAUAAAAUUAUUUAUAAAUCAUUUUUCAAUCACUAAGAAAUAUAAUUCAUUCAAAGUAGAAAAUUUUAAAAAAUACAUUUCGAAAACACCUUGAAUUUUUUUCCGAGGCGUCACACCCCUCUCCAAUAUUCAUUGCAUUUCUCUGUGAGUAAUAAAUCUACCGGUUCCCUGAGGAACGACCCUACUCAUCACCAUACUCAUUAACUUUUGAGGAGUAGGUAAUUUUAUUUUUGGUGGUUUAACUAUGACGCCACUUCUCCUAAGAGCGAACCCAAGGGUAUCCGCGGAACGCCUGUCCAACUCUCGUCAGGAUUCGAGACAAUUCUAAUUCAAACUUAAAAUCUAACACUAACAAUGAAAAUCAGAAUAAAAGUAUGAAGUCAUUUCCAUACGUAAAUAUUCAAUCUUACAUCACAAUUUCAAACUUACAAUUACUUUUUUCCAAAAUAUACAACUUCUAAAAGUUGUCUAAACAAAUACAUUCAAAAUUCUAAUCAAAUAGGCCACCAAGUAAACUUCUCCAUAAUUCCUCCCAUAUCUGCUCCUGUUAAGGAAAACAAAUCUAACGGGGUGAGCGAAUGCUCGCGAGGCCAAGAAAACAUGCAAAACACGUAGUUCAAUAAUAAUAGCACUUACACAAUAAUAAAAGUUAUAACAUUCAAGUAAUUCAUAAUUUAUAAUAAACACACUUGAGUAGGAUGUAGGAGCUCUCAGGAGCUAAUUUUCAAUUGCUUUGUCCAAGUUAAAUUUAAUACCUUCUCGUGACGGCACCCUGUCACCCAGGUAGGUAAUCAAAUUCGUAACACUUCACUUAUUCCAUUUAUGUUUCUAAGACGACUCGAGAGGUACCUCCCACCCAAAUCGGUGUGGUACUUACUAUCGUUCAGAGGUCGAUGAGACUCCGCUCCAAUCGAUUUAGAAUACUUUAUGGUUCUGAGACGACUCGAGAGGUACCUCCCACCCGAAUCGGUGUGGUACUUGUAAUCGUUCAGUGGUCGAUGAGGCAUCGCUCCAAUCGACUUAUGCAGCCAUAGCAUAAUUUAUCAUUUCAUUCAAUCAUUCAAUACAUUCCAUCAUUCAUUUCAUUUCAAUCAAGUCAUUCAUGAUUCAGUCAUUUCAAUUCAAUCAAAUCAUUCAUGAUUCAAUUAAAUGAGAUCGAAUGCGGUAAAGUACACACUCGACUCGGCAUUUUCAAAAUCUCCAAUCAUUAAUAACAAUUAAACUCGUAUCAGGUUUACAUACAUUUGACACUCACCAAGUAAUUCAAGGAGUAAGUGCAAACGAUUGUUUAGGCAUCUCCCGUGAGAUCCUCUUGAAGGUCUCCUUGAGUGCCUGAACAAUUAAUAAUGAACUAUUACACGUAAUCACUUAAAAUCCCUAACUAUCAAGGAGAUGGUACUAGUGUACAAUCUAAGAAGAUAUCACGAAAAUGAGUCUUAAUUACUCAUAAAUCGAGACUCAAAAGUGGGGUUUUAAAACACAAGAGAAAUCUAAUUUUCAUCUUUUAAAACAAGUGUAAAAAGGUCAAGUGUUAUUGAAGGAAAAUGAAGAGUUCUAAAAACUCAAUUUCCCUAUGUUUGGAAAAUUUCAGAUUUAUAGGCAAUUUUUGAAAAAUCGUAUCUCUCUCUAUAUAGGUCCGAAAUUGAAAAACUUGGUACCGUUGGAAACUACUUCCAAAGUACUAAAAGUUUCUAGGAGACACUUUUCUAAGAUUCAAAAUGGAAGACACUCAAAUCUUGGCUUAAAGUGGCUGACUUGUACUCCCAAGACAGAUUCGGUUGGUUUUUUUUGGCCAAUUUUUGAAAUUCAGCAAAAUUCACACAAUGCGAACUAGCCUCCAAAAUUUGGAACUCAUUUAGAGUUGCAAUCAAAGUUUAAAACAAAAAAAAUGGAACAAGAAUCGAAAUUUUAAGUAUUAAGAUAUAGCAGCUCAAAGUUGACCAAAAAUUCCUCAUUGAUCAAGAAUUUCCAGAUUUGAAACCUGAACUUUGGGAUUUCAGUUGGACAUUGAAAUAGACUCGGAAUGGCACAAAAUUUGGUAGUAUUACUCUACCAUAUAAGAUAUAUUCCUCUGUCAAAUUUCAUAUAAAAAUUCGUUCAGAAAGUUGGUUAACAAAGCCACUAAAAUUCCAAGAAUUUCCAAGGCAAUUCUGCCUUGUACUUCAAUUUUGCCUUUUUAGAAGCUUUGUUCCCCACAAUCAACUUCAAUUAAUUCAAAUAUUGAAACUAAUGUUCCAUAAACAUCCAUUAAGUAUUUUAGAAGUAAUUGACAUCAAGGUUUUCGAAAUAUAACUUCCCAAUCAGAUUUGACCAUUCGGCUAAGAGAAAAGGAAAAUUUUCCAGAUUCGAAGAGCAACUUUGGGACAUCAUUUGUAUAUCGAAAUGGUCUUAGAUUGACACCAAACUUGGUACAAUUCAACUUCCAUAUGAGGACUACUCUACCAAAUUUCAUUUGAAAAUUCACACGGAAAGGUAGUGAACUAAACUACCAAAGUUCAAGAAAAUCCCAAGACCAAUCUGUCAUUUGCUUCUUUCUUCCUUUUCAAACAUUUUGCCCAAUGAAAACGAUUCAAAUCUGGCCCAUUUAUGAAAAAAAGGUCUAAGAAAUAUCCAAGAUAUAUUUGUUAAGUGAUUGACACCAAAAUUUUCAAAAUAACAAGUCCCAAACAAGAUAGGCCAUUCAUCAGUCCAAAAUGAGGGUUUUCAACCAUUGAAUCAGUUUCGAACUUCGGCCACAACUCACUCAAUUCAACUUCGAAUUGAGCGUGGCUAGUGGAAUUGAAAACUAGAUUCAUUAAACUACAAUUUCUUAGAAGAAAUUGUUUUCAAAAUCUGUCCACAGCUAGCUCAUAUUUGAGCAUCAAUUCGCUGCUCAAAACAGAGCUCCCAAUGUAGACGUGAAACAGUAUAGUCAUGUUCAAACAAUUGGUAUGGACUACUCAGGUAGAAUCAGAAUGUGUAUUUUAUACCGUUGGAAAUCUGAGAAUGUCUAAUUUCUAGUGCCAUAAACGGCACUCAAUUUCGACAUCGGAACAAAAAGUUAUAGCCGUUUGAAAAACACUGCCAGAGCAGUUAUGGGAAAAUUUCCAGUUUUGCUAGACUUCCGAAAUCACCACAUUUGGCCAACCAAAUCACGAAAUGUUUUGAUGAAACUUUGUACACAACCUAUAUUACACAUAUACAUCAGGAACAAGUCAUUAGAACCACAAAAAAUUGCUCUAAGGGCCACGGCAUGUACAGGGGCAGAAAUGAAAAAAUUCUCCCCUUCACUUCCUUUGAGCUUUCCUUCAACAAUACAACCUAUUUCCACUAGAUUAAAUAGUAAUCCCACAUUAAUAACUUCAAAACACAAUAAAUCGGUCCAUCAAGCCAAAGUGGGAGUUCAUAGAGCCCACACACCAAAUUUCCAACAUAAAUAAAGCUACCCAUAAGAAAUUAUGAACUCAUAAGUGCUAAACAACUUCCAUAAGUCAAGAUUUUAGUAGUUGAUCGUUGUAUACCUUCCUUGAUGAACAAAGCAGAAAAUUUCGGCCUCUUGAAGCUAAAAGAAAACCGUGAGAUGAAGCUCUUUUCCUAGCUUGAGGUGGUCUCCAAGUGGUUAGCUAAGUGUAGGUGAAAUUUGAAAUGAAAUGGUGAAGAUUGGUGCAAAGAUUUGGAGUAAAAAUGGUGAAGCUUUUCUUCCUCCUUCCUUGCUGUUUUGGCCGGCUGUUUGGAGCAAGAGAGAGAGAGGUUUUGGCUGUAAAUGAAGCUUUCAAGAGAAGCUAAAAUGUGUGGCUCUAAAUUGGUCCGAAAGUCAACUCUCUCUCCCGCACGUACGCGUCCGUUUCGUACUCGAUUCCUUUCGAGUUUGUUUCACUAGUGCACUAAACCUCUAAUGCACUUCCAAUUAUAUUAUUAUUAUUCACUCUUAAUAGUUCAAAAUAAAAGUUUAAAGUCCCUCAAUUAAUCGCGCGCGUAAAAACGCAUACUUCCGAUUUGUGCGCGAUAAAGUGGAAUUUUCAAGAAAUUCUUAUAACGAUAGCUUUACUAACUAAUACUUGAAUACUUAAGUAUAAAAAUACCUAUUUUAAGACUAAUGUACAAGUUUCCAAUUUUCCAAUCUUGUUGUAUUCUCGAUUCGAUUAUUAUCUCCAAACGUGCAUUCACUAUUCUCACUUAACGAGCUUCCAAAAAUUAAAUUUUGAAACAAGUCAUUUUAAAAAUAUAAGUAAGUCAUAGUUCCAUGUAAUUGGGUCUAAAAAGGUUGAAAUAAAUUAUUCGGAGAAAAUAGGUGGAUAAAUAAUUAAUUAAACCAUUAAAAUAAGAUUAAAAUAAAUAAAAAUUCGGGUCCUCACAGUAACACUCACCAGAAUAAUAAAUACGACACUAAUCUAGUAUUAAUGAAGGGGUAUAUCAAGAAAUUAAGAAACAAUGAUGAAUGCUUCAACUACUUCAACUUCUAUUUCUAAAUCUAUGUGAAAAUUGAAAUAAGUCCAUCUUUAUGGGAUACAGGGAGGGAGUAUUAUUGCUAAUAAUUUCAAAAUUUUCUAAUAAAUGUUUCUCUUAAUUUUUAUACAAAUAAGAUGUACAUUUCUUAAUAGUAAUACUUGUUACUAUCUUUUUUUGUAGAAUAGGAUGGUAAUCAAGAAAUAGAGUUUGGAAUAGAAUGAGAUUUCAGAAUAAAAAAUGUACUAGUACUACGUCACUAUCACGGUCGUCAUUAGGAAAUAAUUAUAUUCGUCAAUGUUAUGAAAGUUGUUGCUUACCGUUGUUUAGUAAUUUGAUUAAUCUAAUAUAGUAGAACUAUAACAAUUGAUAAUAUUACGAACAAAAUAUUGUUAGCUUUUGUAGUAUGUUGACUAAUUAUUUUGAAAUUUGAUAUAAUGGAUCAUGAAGUGUAAGUAAUUGAACAUAGAUUAGUAUGUGUGCCCUAAAGCUAAUUAACUAUUAAGGUUUUCUACGUACAUUUACUAUUUAUGUUUUCAUAAAUGGCAUUAUUAUUAUUUUGAUUACUUAUGUAUUUUAUAUUUGAAUGAUGAAAUCAUCCUUAUAACAAACCUAAUCAAUGAAAUCAUAAAAGUUACGAUCAUGAAGAUCUUUUGUUUUUAAAAAACUUCCAAUUUUUAAAUCUUUAAACUAUUUCUUAGUGGAUAAUCAACUAAAUUAAUUAACUAGCAUAAAACUCACAAAUAAGAAAACAUAUAUAUUUUUUAGGCAUGAAUUUUGACCUUUUUAUUUAAGCAUUCGUAAAAGAGUACAAAAUAGAGGGGGAUAUAAAAUCCUACCUUCUAAUUUUGAUAUAAUGUAAUCUUGAUAUGCACUUAAAUGGGAAAAUUCUUAGCAUGUUUCAUAAAAUUGGUGAACUUUUGACCUUUUUUUAAUCUAAUUUUUUUACCUCAAGCAACAUUCAAUAAUGUUGUUCCCAAAAUAAAUGAAAAUUCAUUCUCUUAAUUCUGAAAUUUUUAGAACUUCAGGGAUUGCAGAUGGACUUGCAUUGAAGGAUUGUUUAUUUUCUUUUUACAGAUCUAGAAUCAUUGGAAUCUCUUCUGUAACUGCUAGCCAAUUUUAUGGAAAUUGAAGCGAUUUACUAUAUUUAUUUUUUGGCCUUGUAUUCUUGAAAGAAAGCAGUUGACAUACCAACUAAGAUCUAAAUUAUGUUUUAUGCAGUUUAAGCAAGCAUGAUUGACAAUAUUUUUAGUCUAUAUAAUAGAUCCAAUCUAGUGGACACAACUAGGCUAACCCUAGUAUCAAAAUUCUUUUGUAAAAUUUAUUUCCAUUGUUACAAAUUCACUUAUGGAUAAGUGUGAGAAAGGACACUUGUAAUGGCUCUAAUUUAUAUCAUUUUUUAUAAUUUUUGUUUGCAAUUAAUUUGACAUAAAGAUAUUUCUUUGUGGAAUCUGCUAAAGAAUACUUGGGUUGCAAUUUUCAUAGUAAUGGGAAUUCUCUUCAAAGUUCAUUGGAUAUUUGAUAUAAAGGAUUAAUCAUCUAUUGACUUUUUAAUUAUUUAUACAAUAGCACCCAGUUUUAUCGUUUAAUGGUAUUAUACACAUUAUUUAAAAUUUGAAUUGAUUUGCAGGUUUUUACAUGUUAAUACAAAUAAGCAGGGAAAAGAGCUUAUGAAUAUGGACUUGGAUGAAAGAGAUGCCAUUAACUUAUAACAUAUAUAGAUUAGCACUUUGACUUUAUACAAAAUCUUUGUACUAUUCAUUUUCUUUUUCGUUCAUGUAAAUUUAUGAUGAUAUUGAAGUACUUGUAUUUUAUUAAAUUGACUUGGUUAUAUAAUAAGGAUUAUUAGAAUUUAUUGAUGCAUUAUUUUGAUUUAUAGAUUUGAUUAAUUAUGUAAUUUUUUUAUAUGGCACUUAUAAGUGUCAUCUGAACUGUUGUGUUAAGCUAUAUUAAAAUGCCAUAUUUUACACCACUAAUGGCACUUUUACCAUGGCACUUAAAAGUGUCAUGAGAUCUACACCGACAUGAUUUUGAAUAACACAUUUUGAAGGUCUUGUAUUCUCAAAAACAACAUACAAUAACAAAAUUUUAAAAUAUAUUAAAAGUAAACAAUGUUAUGCUAUUUUCUUAUGAGAAAUCAAGAUAUGGCUCACUUAAAAAUACCAAAAUUAUAGCAAAAUUACUUAUAUAUCAUACCACAGAAACAGCUAAUUUUGAAAGUAGUUGCAAAAUAAACAGAAAGGAAAAGUUAUCCUACUAUAAGAAAAAUUCUUUGAUUUCCUGCCACUUUCGCUAUGCUAGCACUUUUAAAAUGUGUGUCGUUGAAAACUCAUGACACUUUCAAGUGCCAUGAUAGAAGUGCCAUUAUACGCAUAAAAUAUGACAUUUUAUAUACUUUAACACAGUAGCUCUAAUGGCACUUCCAAGUGCCAUUAUAGAUUUUUUAACAUAAAUAAAAAAUUAGAUAAUCAAUCAAAUCUAUAAAUCAAAUAGUACAUCAGUAAAUGUCAUUUAUUAUAUAAAUGAGUCUUUUUACAAAGGUACAAGUACUUCAGUAAUAUCAUAAAUCUAUAUGAAUAAAAAGAAAAAGAAUAGUAUAAAUAUUCUGUAUAAAGUUAAAGUGUUAAUCUAUAUAUACUAUAAGUUAAUGGUAUCUCUUUCAUCUAAGUUCAAAAUCAAAAGCAUUUUCCCCUGUUUUCUUGUAUCAAUUUGUAUAAACUUGCAAAUCAAUUCAAAUUUUAAAUAAUACUUAUGAUGCCAUUAAAAAAGAAAACUAUGUACUCCUGUAUAAACAACAAAAAAAGACAAUAGAGGAUUAAUCCUUUAUAUCUAAAGUUCAAAUUUUAAAUAAUACUUAUGAUGCCAUUAAAAAAGAAAACUAUGUGCUCCUGUAUAAACAACAAAAAAGACAAUAGAGGAUUAAUCCUUUAUAUCUAAAGUUCAACAAACUUUGAAUAGAAUUUUCAUUACCAUGAAAACUGCAAUCCAAGCAUGUUCGAAUAGAUUAGAAAUGAUCUUUCUCACACUUAUCCAUGAAGUGAAUCUGUAAUAAUGAAAAUAAAUUCUACAAAAGAAUAUUGAUAUGUCUUAAAACUUACAUCGAAGAAAAUUAGUGUAUUUGAAGAAAAAAAUCAUAGCAAUAUUUUUUGUCCAAUGCAAUGACCAUUCAUGAGUUGAAAUUUAGUUUGUCCAAAAUAAUAUUGUAGAUUGUUAUUAUUGAAUAUGUAAUCUAAGAACUCGCAAAAUUCAGUAUAUUCAAUCCAUAUUUCGGAGGAUUUUCUUAUACAGUCUUGCACACAGUAUACUUUUAGUAAUAUAUUAUAUACUAUAAAUAUAAUAAAAAAUUACACAUUAUUGAUAUCUUAUAUAGUAGGAUCGAUACUCUUGUGAAAAUUCUGAGACUGCAUGAAAUCAAGUUCAAUAUGAAAAAUAAUAAUAUUGAGAAAGAGAAGCCAUAUCUCUUCCACAAUCUUUAUCAUCCCUAGGCACCCAAUUUUACCAUUACACUUAAUUUUACUGUACCCAACAUUUACAGAACCUUUUCUAUUGCAUAAUCAAAUUACAACUCAUUAAUCAAAGAGAAAAGAUGACACGCUCCUCGAUUAACACGUUUCGAGACACGUAGCACGUUUGUCCAAAGAUCUAGCGAGGAUGUCCAACGUUUGGUUUGCAGAACCCAAAACCAAGACGGACGACAUGACUUGAUUGAAGGUGGUAGAACGACGACUCCAAACAAGAUAAAUACUCAAGUGGAUAGGUUGGAUAAACAAUCAAGGACAAUCAGGAGAUUGCUCAAGAAUCCUUGCCAAAGUAAGUAAAGGAUUUGAAUCUCUAAAUAAUUGGAGAGAAACACAAACAGAAUUUUAUUAUCAAAAGUGUCUAACCCUUAAGCCAUACAAAGUGAGCCUUCUUAUAGGCUAAGGACUAAGAAAACCCUAAGGACUACUAGGAGGAAGGGGUCGGCCACCUUUGGCUUCAAGUGGGCCGAGAUUACACCUUCAACUAAUAGCAAUAACGACAUUUAACACUAAAGACUAAAGGCCUAGUCGGCCCUCCCACAUGCGUGGCCACUUGACUCUUCAUGGGUUUGGAUCAUCGUGUUGACAACUUGAUUAUCACCAUCCAAGUUUUCAAUGUUUAUGGACUCCUUGUUGCUUUUGAACAUUUCGCACAAGAGUUUGAAGAGACUUCUUGAAGCGCUUGGCCCGUGCAUGUGUAACCGGGCCCAAUGGAACUCGAAUUGGAUCAUUCUUUGGGUUAAGGUCCGUGCACACAUCAGUUCCCUCCAUUUGAGAAGGAUUUGUCCUCAAAUCUGGAUCCUUCUCAUCAAGGAAUGGGCUCAAGUCCGUGACAUUGAAAGUCGCGCUAACAUUGUACUCCCCAGAUAGCUCUAAUUUGUGGGCAUUGUCAUUGACUCAUUGGAGUACUCGAAAGGGUCCAUCACCCCUUGGGGACAGCUUGUUUUGGCGUUGCUUGGGAAAUCUUUCUUUUCUCAAGUGUAGUCACACCCAAUCUCCAGGUUCAAAUGUCAUCUUGCGACGGUGCUUGUUAGCUUGCUGGACAUAUUGCUGCAUGCGCUUCUCAAUAUUGGCUUGAAUAGCUUCAUGCAACCUACGCACAAAAUCAGUUUUCUUUUUUCCAUCUAAGCUUGUGUACUUAAAGGAAGAUAAGGGUGCCAAAUCAAGGGGUGUCGGAGAGUUAAAACCAUGAACAAUCUCAAACGAUGAGUAGUGUGUCGCACUAUGAACAGUUCGAUUAUAAGCAAAUUCAACAUGUGGUAAACACUCUUUCCAAGAUUUAAGAGUCUUUUUAAUCAAAACCCUGAAUAAAGUACCAAGUGUGCGAUUGACAACUUCAGUUUGGCCAUCGCUCUGGGGAUGACUUGUAGUAUAAAAUAACAAUCGAGUGCCAAACUUUGACCACAAAGUCUUCCAGAAAUAGCUCAAAAACUUCACAUCUCUAUCACUAACAAUGGUUCAACCAGACAAAAUUUCUUUAAAGAACAGGUUAGCAAUAUGAGAUGCAUCAUCAGUUUUAUGACAAGGAAUGAAAUGAGUCAUCUUUGAGAAUCUAUCAACGAUCACAUAGAUGGAGUCAUUAUCCCUUGGUGACCUAGGUAGUCCUAAGACAAGUCUACCUAAGAAUAAUGUGGAAUGGGCAAUGGGGUAUACAACCCAUAUGGGUUUGUUUUAAACUUGGCCUUAUGGCAAGUGGCACACCUACCAACCAUGUGCUCAACAUUCCUACGCAUAUGGAGCCAGUAGAAGUGUUCUUGCAACAUUGCUAAGGUCUUAACAAUGAUAAAAUGACCCAUGAGACCACCACUAUGUGUCUCUCUAACCAAAAGAUCACGAAUAGAAGAAUUAGGCACACAUAACUUAUCCACAUCGAAUAGAAAUUCAUCAUGCAAAAAGUAUUUUCCAUGCGGACUCUUAACACAAGAAGCAUAUAUGUCACCAAAAUCAAGAUCAUGUGCAUAAAGUUCCUUAAUCAUCUCAAAACCUAACAAUUUAGUAUCAAGGAAAACAAGCAGAGAAUGUCUAUGAGAUAGUCCAUCAUCUACCACAUUCGUUUUACCAGUUUUGUACUUAAUGACGUAAGAGAAGAUGUCAAUGAAACUUAUCCAUUUGGCAUAUCUUUUGCUCAAUUUCGGUUGUCCCUUGAGAAAUUUCAAUGACUCGUGAUCAGUGUGUAUCACGAACUCGCUUGGACGGAGGUAGUGCUGCCAGAUUUCCAAAACUCUCACCAGUGCAUACAACUCUUUGUUAUACGUGAGGUAGCUCAAUGCAGCACCUCCCAAUUUCUCACUAAAGAAUGCACAAAAUCUCUUAUCUUGCAUGAGAACAGCUCCAAUCCCUACACCAGAAGUAUCACAUUCAAUUUCAAAAAUUUUGUUAAAAUUAGGUAAUGCUAAAACCGGUGCAUAUGUGAGUUUGUCCUUAAGGAAAAGAAAUGCUUGUUCUUGGGUUUCUCCCUAAUGAAAUUUAUCAUUUUUUUUCGUCACGGCGGUCAAUGGAGCAGCAAUGGUGCUGAAGUCUUUGACAAAACGCCGAUAGAAGCCCACCAAUCCAUGAAAACUUCGCACCUCAGAGACGGAUUUUGGUGUGGGCUAUUGCUUGAUAGGUUCAAUCUUGGAUUCGUCUACUUUGAUGUCCUAUGAACUCAUAACAUAGCCUAAGAAUACAAGUUCAUUGUACAAAAAGUGCACAUCUUAAGGUUGGCAUAUAGGCACGCCUUUUGAAGUGUAUCGAGAACCAAUCUCAAAUGCUCCAUGUGUGACGCCCCACAUCUCCCUAAGGCGGACCAAAAGGGUAUCCGCGGACGCCUGCCCAUCUCACGCCAGGACUCAAGCAAUUCCAUCCAAAUUCAAACCGAACUAAGCACUUCGAUGAGAGCAACAUGAAUACAAUAAUGCGGAAGCGUUCAAGCUUAAUAAGUCACUUAAUGUAUUACCAGUACAUCGGGUAAUCAUGAAACGACUUAAAUUCAAAGUACACAUCAGGGCCCAAACUUUUCAAGUUUACAAUUUCCAAAAGUACAACCCAAACCAGGGCCUAGUCAAAAUAUAUAACAGGAGUCUUAACAAAAUUACCACGGAUGGUGUCUCCAUAAUUCUCCAAGAGUCGGUCCUGUUAAGGAAAACAAAACUAUAGGGUGAGCUAACGCUCGUGAGGCCAAGAACACACAUGCAAGCACGUAAUCAAAUAACAAUCCCAACUUUAAUAAAUAAAAUCACGUCUUUUCAAUAAUCAAUUAUUCAAACAGGAAAAGUAAUCAGAAACAAUUCAAGGAUAUAGUAGCUCUCAGGAGCUAAGUUCCACUUGUUCUGCCGUUGUCAUUCGUAUACCUUCCCGCAUUGACCCUCCUGUCAACCGGGUCGGUAUUUCCAUUUCCGUAGAUCACCACUUACUUCCCUCCGUCCACCGUACACCUCAAGGGCCCACAAGUCUAUUAUUGGGCGAUACUCUACAAGUAUGCCAAGCAAGACCUCUUAUUAGGUCGAGCUUAUAAUCUCAUGGCUCGCCCAAGUUCCCGACCAAGCCCAUUGCCGGCUCGAGUCUAAGGACGGCCUAUGAGUUUGGGCGUCCCCCAUUCAUUUGGUAGUCGAGGAGAUUCACUCCAACGACACAAGCAUUCAUGACAUGACAUUGCAUUUCAUUCAUUCAUUCAAUACAUUUCAUUCAUUCAUUCAUUCAUUCAUUUGAAAUUAGAACGAGUGCGAUAAAGUACGCACCCGCCCUUAUUUUAAAACUCCCAACAAGUAUCACAGUAAGCAAGUAUCAAAUUCAUACACUUGACACUCACCGAGCAAUUCAACAAGAAUUAUUUUCCGGAAGUUCAAGUGUCCACGGUGAGAUCCUCUUGAAGGUCUCCUUGUGUGCCUGGCAAUUUAAUAGUGGAUAAUCACACAAUUAACCCACUUAUCAAGAAAGAUUGUACACUAGUACAAUCUAAGAAUUAUUUUGUAAAAAGGAACCUCAAUUACACGUAAAUCGAGGUUCAACUUGCCUUUUAUUAGGUAUAAUAUUAUUUGAGUUUUUAUCAUGAAAAUCGUAAGCAAAACGUUUAAGAAUAUAAAAAGAAUAAAGAGUUUUUUGAAAAACUCUAUUUUCUUGGAAUUGGAAAAUUUUCCAGUUUUAUGAUAAAUCUUUGAAAAAUCGUAACUCGCUCGGUAUAAGUCGAAAAUUGGAAAACUUUAUACCGUUAGAAACCUCUUAGAGAGUACUAUAAGUUCCUAGAAGACACUUUUCCAUGAAUCGAGGCGGAAAGUGAUCAAAAAUGGGUUUGAAGACGCAGCUUCAGUUUACAAGGCAGAAUUGAGUUGGAUUUCGGCCAACUUUGAAAAUUCGGCACGAUUCGCACGUUGCAAACCGGCCUCUGAAAUUUUCAGCUCAAUUAGUGUUGCAAGUGAAGUGUAUGAAAAAAACAAGCGGAUCAAGAAUCGGAGUUUCGAGCACCGAGAUACGGUAGCCCGAAGUUGAGCAAAUUCAAGACUGGAGAAGAAUUUCCAGAUUUGAACCCCCAACUUUAGAAUUUUAAUUAGGUAUCGAAACGAACUUGAAUUGGCACCAAAAUUGGCAGUGUUUCAAUACUAUAUGGAAGGUAUCUCUCUAUCGAAUUUCGGGGAAAAAUACCUUCGGCAAGGUAGUUAAUUAGCCCACCAAAGUUCAAGAAAAAUCCUAAGGCAAACUGCCUUUGACUUGCAUUUCCCAAUUUGCAAUCGUCUAACCAAGAAAGUUAUCCAACCAUGGUUCAUUUGUGAAAUAAGGGUCUAAGAUACACCCAUAAUAUCUUUGGUAAGUGUUUAAUAUCAAAACAUCAACUAACAAGUUCAUUCCAAGAUUUGGUUCCAAACCAGUCCCAACAUUAGGGUUUUCCAAAACAGAGCAGUUCACUUGAUUCAGUCACAACUCAGUCAUUAUAGCUCGAAAUCGAGCAUGGCUUACGCCGUUGGAAAAUACAUUCAUAGAGUUAAAAUAUCACAGAAGAAAUCAUUUCCAAAUUCGGCACCCAUCUGGUUCAAAUUCGGGCAUCAAGUUGCUGCCUGCACACUUCAUUCCAGACGAACAGAGCAACAGGACAGCGAACUUAAAACAUUUGGUUCGGCUUGGUCACAAGGAAUCAGAACGUGCAUCAUAUACCAAAUUAAAGCUAGGAAUGUCUAGUUUCAAACGCCACCGACGGCACAUGAUUUCGACAUCCGAGGACAGAGUUAUAGCCAAAAUACUACUGCUGGUCAGAGGCAUACGCGAGAUCAGUUUCCAGAUUUGCUGGUUUCGAACAAAAAUUCAUUUGCUCCAUCAAACCCCAAUAUUUUCCAAUGAAAUUUUUCACACAUCUAAUACAUCCUAUAAACAUCCAAUCCAAGCCAUUAAACCAUUAAAAUUUGGCCUGGAAAUGGCCGAACAUAGCAGGGGCAAAAUCGGAAGUUUUAGCUUCUUACACCCAAUGAAGUUUCCACUAAUUACCCAUCACUAAUGCAUCAUUAUAAUCACUAAACCAACAAUAUAAUCACCAUCAAUCAUCACAUCAGCAACAACAACCCAAGUGUGGGAAUUCCAAGAGCCCACAAUCACAUUUUUACACCAUAAUCAAGUAACUAAGUGCAUGCAUGAGCUUAAUCUUGCUAUAUAACCUCCAAAAGACAAGAAUUCAUGGGUUGAUCAUUACCUCUUCCUUGGGUGUGCAAGACCAGAAAAUUUCGGCCCUCUUGAAGCUCCAAGAAACCGUGAAGAUGCAGCCUUUUGUUAGCUAAAACCAACCUCCAAGAGAUUUGCUAAGUGGUCUCCAAGUUUGGUGUGAUUUGGAGGUGAUUUGGGGUGGUUUUGAGCGAGGUUAGUGUGCAGAAUUUUUUGUUGCAAAUGAGUUAGAGAGAAGGGAGAGCUUGGCCGGCUGUGAGGAGAGAGAAGAGAGAGUGUGUUUGAUCUAAGUUAGCUUCUCCAAGAAGAUUAAAUGUGUGGUGAAAAAUUGCUCCAAAGUCAACUCUUGUAAGGCUCGUUUGGCACGUUUUUAGGCUUGAUUUUCUCGCGCGUUUGGUUCACUAGUGCACUAAACCUCUAAUGCACUCAUGUUAAUAUAAACAUUAUUCACUCUUAAUUGUCCCGAAAUAAGGGUCUAAAGUCCUUCAAUUGAAGUCGCGCGUGUGAAAACGCGUACCGUCAAAUUUUACCGCUAUACGCAGAACUUUCGAAAAAUUCCUAUAACGAUUGCACUACUAGCUAUCACUUGAGUAUUUAUUCAUAAGAUUACCUAUUUUAGGACCAUAGUACAAGUCUCCAAUAUUCCAAGCUUAUCGUGCUAAAACGCGGAUAAAAUCUCCAAGUACUAUUCACUAUUUUUACUAAACGCGCUCUAGGAAAUUAAUUUUCGAAACGAAUCAUUUUAAAAAUAUAACGAAGUUAUAUUAUCAUGCGUUUAGGUCUCAUAAGACUAGAAAAUAUUCCUUGGAAAUAAAAUCCAAUUAAAUAAUUUAUUAAGCCAUAAAUUAGGCAUAAAAUAAUAGUUUUUGCGAGUCCUCACAUCCUCUCCCCCUUAAGAAAAUUUCGUCCUCGAAAUUUACCUUGGUUGGUGAACAAGUCUGGAUACUUCUCUCUGAUUGUCUCUUCAACUUCCCAUGUUGCUUCUUCUACUCCAUGGUUCUUCCAUAAAACUUUCACUAGUGGUAUCUGCUUGUUCCUCAAUUCCUUCACCUUUCGAUCCAGAAGUUUUACCGGUCUCUCCUCAUAGGUCAGGGUUUCAUCAAUCUCAAUAUUCUCCGGUUGUAAAACAUGAGAGGGGUCUGGAUGAUACUUCUUAAGCAUGGACACAUGAAACACGUUAUGGAUACGAGAUAAACUCGGUGGUAAUUCCAGCUUAUAGGCUACAUUCCCAACUCGCUGAAUAAUCUUAUAAGGCCCUACAAACCUUGGUUGUAGUUUCUUCCCUUUUCCGGACAUCAAACUUGCUUUUAAAGGCGUAAUCUUGAGAAAUACCAUAUCUCCAACAGUGAACUCCAAAUCCUUCCUCCGAUUGUCGGCAUAACUUUUUUUUUUGUCUACUCUGAGCGGUUUGAAUUCUUUGCCGUACCAAUUUCACCCUUUUCAUUAGCCUCCUCAAUCCAAGAUACAGUAAUCGUGUCUAAGAUUUUCCGUUCACCUACUUCAUCCCAACAAUCGAAAUUCCUUAACCAUCAAUCCAGCCAUUUGUACCUGACGGCUCAAAGCAUCGGCCACUACAUUGGCCUUCCCAGGAUGGUACUUAAUAAUGCAGUCAUAAUCUUCCAGAAAUUCCAUCCAUCUACGUUGCCUCAAAUUCAGCUCCUUCUGAGAAAAUAAGUACUUAAGGCUUUUGUGAUCUGUAAAAACCUCAAAUGUCACUCCGUAUAAAUAGUGUCUCCAUUUCAUCAAAGCAAAGACCACAGCCGCUAAUUCCAAAUCAUGGGUCGGAUAAUUUCCCUCAUGCGGCUUCAAUUUUCUAGAGGCAUAAGCUAUCAUUUUAUCAUUUUGCAUCAAAACACAUCCCAAACCUUCCUUAGAUGCAUCUGUGUAAACCACAAAACUAUCAUGUCCAUUUGGUAGAGCUAGAACAGGCGCUCUAGUCAACCGCCUUUUCAACUCCUGAAAACUUCCUUCACACUUAGAACUCCAAAUAAACUUUCCAUUUUUCUUGGUCAACUCAGUCAUAGGUCCAGCAAUUUUCGAAAAAUCCUGGAUGAAUCUCCGGUAAUAUCCUGCCAAUCCUAUAAAACUCCGAACUUCCGUUGGGUUUUCCGGUCAUUUCCAUUUCGAAACAGCUUCCACUUUAGCUGGAUCCACUUUAAUCCCAUCCUUAGAAAUUAUAUGCCCUAGGAAAGUCACUUCCUUCAGCCAGAAUUCACACUUGCUAAACUUAGCAUAUAACUGAUGUUCCCUCAAGAUUUGUAAAACAAUUCUCAAAUGUUUCUCAUGAUCUUUCACAUUCUUAGAAUACACCAAAAUGUCAUCAAUGAAGAUCACCACAAAUUGAUCCAAGUAAGGCUUAAAAACCCUAUGCAUUAAAUCCAUGAAAGCGGCAGGUGCAUUGGUUAACCCAAAAGGCAUUACUGCAAACUCGAAGUGCCCAUACCUUGAGUUAAAAGCAGUCUUAGGUAUAUCCUUCUCCAAAAUCCUCAAUUGAUAGUAACCUUGCCUUAGAUCCAACUUUGAAAACACUACCGCCCCUUGCAAUUGAUCAAACAGUUCAUCGAUGUGGGGUAGUGGGUAUUUAUUUUUAACCGUAACAUCAUUUAAACCUCGAUAAUCUAUACAUAACCUCAAACUCCCAUCUUUCUUCUUUACAAACAAAAUUGGGGCUCCCCACGGAGAAUCACUCUCUCGUAUAAAACCCCGUUCCAACAAAUCCUGUAAUUGUAACUUCAACUCCUUCAACUCAGCUGGAGCCAUCCUGUAUGGUGUCCUUGAUAUAGGUGCUGUUCCCGGAGUUAAAUCAAUUUUAAAAGCUAUUUCCCGUUCCGGGGGUAGAGACUCCAAUUCUUCAGGAAAAACAUCAGAAAAUUCUUUCACUACCGGUGUGUCCUCCAGAUUCACCUUAUCGCUAGGGGUAUUAAUAAGAAAAGCCAAAUACCCUUGAGCUCCCUUAUUUAACAAUUUUCUAGCCCAAAUUCCCGAAAUAAGUGCAGACGAGGCUAACUUACCCCUUACAUCCAGUAGAGCAUGGCUUAUAUAAUAAUCACUUAUCAGGUUCAAGUAUUACAUAUCACACCAAUCCAACCUAUCAAAUAGUCAUGGUCCAAUAGGGAAUUAAUCGCGUAAUCAGAUAAAACAGGCAAAAGGCUUGAAGUCGGACGUAAAGUCCCAGACAUUUGGAAGAAAUUCAGGAUAUAGCGAAGCUUCAAAUCAAAAGUUCAUCCCUGGUGGUGCUGGACAACACAACAAGCAAUGCCCCACCAGAGAGGUUCAGUUCAACCGCUACAGAAGAGUAGUAGCCGGUCUACAACCACACCAGUACGAAUAAGUUCAAGAGUAGGGUCAAAGCAGAGCCAAAUACUUCAGGUUCAUGGUGCAUGAGUACGAACAAAAGUAUAAGUUCAAGUUCAAGUGCAAGUUCAAGUUCAAAUUCAAGGGUCAUGAGUACGAGUAAGAACACACUGGCCUAACCUCUGUCCAGCAAUUCACAUUCUUAAACAGUCACAAAAUUCAAGUCCACAUUCCAUAUAUUCAGUCAAAUUAGGUCCAUUGAGGAUACGCAAGAGCACACUAGCCUAAACAGGUUCAAGUCUCAAGUAAGCUCAGUCUAAUCGGUUUCAGGCAGUUCGAGUUCUCUUACCAACCCACUGCAAUACUUUCGGAGUUCAAACUUCCUAAGAUUGAAAUAUUGGCACAGAACCAAUCAUAACAUAUGUUGCGCACAAGAAAAGCUCACCAAGUUUCUAGCUAGGUUAAUCCAUUAUACACUAGUAGAUCGGAUCUUCGGGUUUAUGUUCGAUUCAUAUUCGGUACUAGGGACCUAUUAAAUUAUAUGAAACUGUCUAUCAAUUUGUCUCACAAGUACAGGGUUGUCUAAGCCCUCGGUCACGGUCCCCUUUUCUCGUUCCUGCUACCCUACUUAAGAAAAGUCUAUAAGCACAGGAAAAGGCAUAACUAAGCAUAAAGAGCGUAACGCGUAUACAAGUUGCAAAAACAUUUAAAAUCAGGUCAUGAUUCAUUACAUGUAUCAAAAGUUAUAGCACGGUUAGAAGUUACAAAACAAGACCAAUAUGUCCAAUAUUGCACAUAGGCAAUUAAGUGCCACAAAAAUAUAGAAGUACAUACAAGCAGGAUACAAAAGGCCUCACAGCGUGCACUACCCCUUUCUAAGUCCAUAGUUAAACCAAAGGGUCCAGACAUCACUAAUUUCAAUCAGAUCACACGCCUUUACGAAAUUAGAUCCAAUAAAGCCAUAACGCAAGCUAAAACCAAGAUUAUCCAUUCGAAGCUCAAAAUCUUUAAUAACCAGCCACCAGUCGGAACACCAUCAUCUCCAAAAUAACCAGUCUUAGGGUUUUGUAAUUAAAGUUUCAAGCUCCAAGUUCAAACCCAAGAAUAAGUACAACUUACUACCUUACGUGUCAAAUGGAAACCAAAUCAAUUCACACUAACUUGUACUCUUGAAUGCAGUUGCUCUCUAUAUCUCAAAGUUGCCUCAGUCCGUACAUUUAAAAUUGGCUCACUCUUCUUGAAAGUCAAGAAUUUUAAAACAUAAGAAGAGUAUUUCAAGUAAUCAAAAAUCUUAUCAAGUUCAGGAUUCACAUUAUUAAACAUAAGCUUGCCAUUCUUUCGAAAACUCAGGAUAUAUAGAUAUAUUUUUCUUCGUGUAAAGCAUGGACAAAUUCAAGUGUGAGAUUACACCAAUAUACAAUCAAGGGGAAAAACUUAGUUUAGAAAAUGUUAAUCUUGUAUUAACCCAUCAUAUACAAAGUUCAACAACUCAUUAGUUAUUCACAAAUUUUCAAAUGUGAAAUUCAAGUAAAACUCACCCUUUUACCAAAAUCGGAAAAUUACACAUAUUUAAAGCACAUAUAUCUUACUUCCACUCAUCGCUUACAAAUAAAACUAGUACAUCCUAGUUUUUCUUUAAAUUUUCAAAGCAGAAUAUCUUUAGAAGAUAUGUGGGCGAAAAAUACAAUUUAUUCCUUUGUACUUUUAUCUUGGUUCAAAAUCAUCACACAUGGAGUUUGACUAUCAAAUCUCGGUCUCUUACCCUCCAUAGCCAGUACUAAUAAUUAUCUCAAUUCUUUCCACACUUACAAAUAUAAUGAUAAUUCAAAUUCAUCCAAUCUUUCACUACAAAUCUCUCAUCCCAUAUCUUCCUUCAAUAUAACAUCACCUAAUUCCUCAGUUUCUUCUGCAAGUCCCAAAUAAGAACUCCCAAAUAAUAAAUUUCUUUAACCCCUAAGAUACAAUAGAUCCUGGUCACAUAAUAUCCAAAUUAAUCCCACAGUCAGGCAUCCUAAACUUUAAGCCUAGGAUAUGCUACAGAGAUCUGAAGCCUAAGCUCUGAUACCAACUGUGACAGUUCUCAGGGUCACAUCACGGGGUACCUAUCAGCUUGCCACCCGCACGCGGGCAUCCCCUACGGAGAGUUUCGCUUCGUGACUCUUCACGAACGAGAGGCUCGGGGCUUUUCCAGACGAAGGACGUAAAGUCCCAACUGUCGGCAUAUGGCUCUGAUACCAACUGUGACGCCCCACAUCUCCCUAAGGCGGACCAAAAGGGUAUCCGCGGACGCCUGCCCAGCUCACGCCAGGACUCAAGCAAUUCCAUCCAAAUUCAAACCGAACUAAGCACUUCGAUGAGAGCAACAUGAAUACAAUAAUGCGGAAGCGUUCAAGCUUAAUAAGUCACUUAAUGUAUUACCAGUACAUCGGGUAAUCAUGAAACGACUUAAAUUCAAAGUACACAUCAGGGCCCAAACUUUUCAAGUUUACAAUUUCCAAAAGUACAACCCAAACAAGGGCCUAGUCAAAAUAUAUAACAGGAGUCUUAACAAAAUUACCACGGAUGGUUUCUCCAUAAUUCUCCAAGAGUCGGUCCUGUUAAGGAAAACAAAACUAUAGGGUGAGCUAACGCUCGUGAGGCCAAGAACACACAUGCAAGCACGUAAUCAAAUAACAAUCCCAACUUUAAUAAAUAAAAUCACGUCUUUUCAAUAAUCAAUUAUUCAAACAGGAAAAGUAAUCAGAAACAAUUCAAGGAUAUAGUAGCUCUCAGGAGCUAAGUUCCACUUGUUCUGCCGUUGUCAUUCGUAUACCUUCCCGCAUUGACCCUCCUGUCAACCGGGUCGGUAUUUCCAUUUCCGUAGAUCACCACUUACUUCCCUCCGUCCACCGUACACCUCAAGGGCCCACAAGUCUAUUAUUGGGCGAUACUCUACAAGUAUGCCAAGCAAGACCUCUUAUUAGGUCGAGCUUAUAAUCUCAUGGCUCGCCCAAGUUCCCGACCAAGCCCAUUGCCGGCUCGAGUCUAAGGACGGCCUAUGAGUUUGGGCGUCCCCCAUUCAUUUGGUAGUCGAGGAGAUUCACUCCAACGACACAAGCAUUCAUGACAUGACAUUGCAUUUCAUUCAUUCAUUCAAUACAUUUCAUUCAUUCAUUCAUUCAUUCAUUUGAAAUUAGAACGAGUGCGAUAAAGUACGCACCCGCCCUUAUUUUAAAACUCCCAACAAGUAUCACAGUAAGCAAGUAUCAAAUUCAUACACUUGACACUCACCGAGCAAUUCAACAAGAAUUAUUUUCCGGAAGUUCAAGUGUCCACGGUGAGAUCCUCUUGAAGGUCUCCUUGUGUGCCUGGCAAUUUAAUAGUGGAUAAUCACACAAUUAACCCACUUAUCAAGAAAGAUUGUACACUAGUACAAUCUAAGAAUUAUUUUGUAAAAAGGAACCUCAAUUACACGUAAAUCGAGGUUCAACUUGCCUUUUAUUAGGUAUAAUAUUAUUUGAGUUUUUAUCAUGAAAAUCGUAAGCAAAACGUUUAAGAAUAUAAAAAGAAUAAAGAGUUUUUUGAAAAACUCUAUUUUCUUGGAAUUGGAAAAUUUUCCAGUUUUAUGAUAAAUCUUUGAAAAAUCGUAACUCGCUCGGUAUAAGUCGAAAAUUGGAAAACUUUAUACCGUUAGAAACCUCUUAGAGAGUACUAUAAGUUCCUAGAAGACACUUUUCCAUGAAUCGAGGCGGAAAGUGAUCAAAAAUGGGUUUGAAGACGCAGCUUCAGUUUACAAGGCAGAAUUGAGUUGGAUUUCGGCCAACUUUGAAAAUUCGGCACGAUUCGCACGUUGCAAACCGGCCUCUGAAAUUUUCAGCUCAAUUAGUGUUGCAAGUGAAGUGUAUGAAAAAAACAAGCGGAUCAAGAAUCGGAGUUUCGAGCACCGAGAUACGGUAGCCCGAAGUUGAGCAAAUUCAAGACUGGAGAAGAAUUUCCAGAUUUGAACCCCCAACUUUAGAAUUUUAAUUAGGUAUCGAAACGAACUUGAAUUGGCACCAAAAUUGGCAGUGUUUCAAUACUAUAUGGAAGGUAUCUCUCUAUCGAAUUUCGGGGAAAAAUACCUUCGGCAAGGUAGUUAAUUAGCCCACCAAAGUUCAAGAAAAAUCCUAAGGCAAACUGCCUUUGACUUGCAUUUCCCAAUUUGCAAUCGUCUAACCAAGAAAGUUAUCCAACCAUGGUUCAUUUGUGAAAUAAGGGUCUAAGAUACACCCAUAAUAUCUUUGGUAAGUGUUUAAUAUCAAAACAUCAACUAACAAGUUCAUUCCAAGAUUUGUUCCAAACCAGUCCAACAUUAGGGUUUUCCAAAACAGAGCAGUCCACUUGUUUCAGUCACAACUCAGUCAAUAUAGCUCGAAAUCGAGCAUGGCUUACGCCGUUGGAAAAUACAUUCAUAGAGUUAAAAUAUCACAGAAGAAAUCGUUUCCAAAUUUGGCUCCCAUCUGGUUCAAAUUCGGGCAUCAAGUUGCUGCCUGAACACUUCAUUCCAGAUGAACAGAGUGACAGGACAGCGAACUUAAAACAUUUGGUUCGACUUGGUCACAAGGAAUCAGAACGUGCAUUAUAUACCAAAUUAAAGCUAGGAAUGUCUAGUUUCAAACGCCACCGACGGCACAUGAUUUCGACAUCCGAGGACAGAGUUAUAGCCAAAACACUACUGCUGGUCAGAGACAUACGCGAGUCAGUUUCCAGAUUUGCUGGUUUCGAACAAAAAUUCAUUUGCUCCAUCAAACCCCAAUAUUUUCCAAUGAAAUUUUUCACACAUCUAAUACAUCCUAUAAACAUCCAAUUCAAGCCAUUAAACCAUUAAAAUUUGGCCUGGAAAUGGCCGAACAUAGCAGGGGCAAAAUCGGAAGUUUUAGCCUCUUACACCCAAAGAAGUUUCCACUAAUUACCCAUCACUAAUGCAUCAUUAUAAUCACUAAACCAACAAUAUAAUCACCAUUAAUCAUCACAUCAGCAACAACAACCCAAGUGUGGGAAUUCCAAGAGCCCACAAUCACAUUUUUACACCAUAAUCAAGUAACUAAGUGCAUGCAUGAGCUUAAUCUUGCUAUAUAACCUCCAAAAGACAAGAAUUCAUGGGUUGAUCAUUACCUCUUCCUUGGGUGUGCAAGACCAGAAAAUUUCGGCCCUCUUGAAGCUCCAAGAAACCGUGAAGAUGCAGCCUUUUGUUAGCUAAAACCAACCUCCAAGAGAUUUGCUAAGUGGUCUCCAAGUUUGGUGUGAUUUGGAGGUGAUUUGGGGUGGUUUUGAGUGAGGUUAGUGUGCAGAAUUUUUUGUUGCAAAUGAGUUAGAGAGAAGGGAGAGCUUGGCCGGCUGUGAGGAGAGAGAAGAGAGAGUGUGUUUGAUCUAAGUUAGCUUCUCCAAGAAGAUUAAAUGUGUGGUGAAAAAUUGCUCCAAAGUCAACUCUUGUAAGGCUCGUUUGGCACGUUUUUAGGCUCGAUUUUCUCGCGCGUUUGGUUCACUAGUGCACUAAACCUCUAAUGCACUCAUGUUAAUAUAAACAUUAUUCACUCUUAAUUGUCCCGAAAUAAGGGUCUAAAGUCCUUCAAUUGAAGUCGCGCGUGUGAAAACGCGUACCGUCAAAUUUUACCGCUAUACGCAGAACUUUCGAAAAAUUCCUAUAACGAUUGCACUACUAACUAUCACUUGAGUAUUUAUUCAUAAGAUUACCUAUUUUAGGACCAUAGUACAAGUCUCCAAUAUUCCAAGCUUAUCGUGCUUAAACGCGGAUAAAAUCUCCAAGUACUAUUCACUAUUUUUACUAAACGCGCUCUAGGAAAUUAAUUUUCGAAACGAAUCAUUUUAAAAAUAUAACGAAGAUAUACUACCACUUAUAUAGGUCUAACAAGACUAGAAAAUAUUCCUUGGAAAUAAAACCCAAUUAAAUAAUUUAUUAAGCCAUAAAUUAGGCAUAAAAUAAUGGUUUUUGCGAGUCCUCACACCAUGUGUUCAUGUUAAUUUCGACUAUAUAUCAAGAUAUCAUCAAAGUAAACAAUGACAAAUUUUCCAAUGAAUUGUCUUAAAACAUGGUUCAUUAACCUCAUGAAAGUAUUAGGGGCGUUAGUCAACCCAACAGGCAUGACUAGCCACUCAUAAAAUCCAUGUUUUGUUUUAAAAACUGUUUUUCACUCGUCUCCCUCUUUCAUCCUAAUUUGAUGAUAACCAUUUCUUAAAUCAAUUUUAGUGAAAAUCACCGCACUAUCAAGUUCAUCAAGCAUAUCAUCUAAUCUAGGUAUUGGAUGACGGUAUUUAACAGUUAUGGCAUUAACAGCUCUACCGUUAGUGCACAUAUGCCAAGUACCAUCCUUUUUAGGAACAAAUAUCACAGGCACAGCACACGGACUCAAACUUUUCUUUACCCAACCCUUACCUAGUAAGUCAUCAACUUGCCUUUGGAGCUCCUUAGUUUCCUCAGGACCCAUGCGAUAAGCAGGUUUGUUAGGUAGUAGUGCUCCAGGAAUCAAGUCAUCUAGUGCCUGAUCCUUCGAAUUGGUGGUAAACCAUCUGGGAUCUUAUCAGGGAACACGUCCUCGAAUUCCUGCAAAAGAGCAACUACAAUCAAAGAUAAUGCCUUAUCGAGUUCAUCAACAUUUAGGAGCACAUGCUUACAAAUCAUGAGUAAUACAGGCUGAUCAGCAUUCACAAGAUUUCACACAUCCUUAGCCUUGAUUAUCAUGUUUUGCUUUCUAGUAUUGGAUUUAAUUAAUGCAUGAUCAUGUGUGACACUAGAUGUGCUCACUUGACCCUUGGUCGAUUGCUCACUUGUAGAAGUGGAGCAUUUUUAAGGGUCGGUCGCCUUGUAUUUCCUCUUUUGGCGGUCCAAAUCAUACUCUUUGCAAUUUCAAUUGGUCCUCAUAUACUUAUGCAGGUGUGAGGGGUGUUAGGACCAUGUGUUUACCAUUGUGCAAUAGAGUGUACUUAUUGGUUCUACCAUCAAAUGUGACAUGUUUAUCGAAUUACCAAAAUCUUCCUAAGAUGACAUGUAUCGCAUGCAUAAGAAUAAUAUCAUACACAACUUUAUCAAUGUAGUUGUCAAUUGAAAAAGGAACACGUAUCUAUUUGUAGACACGUACCUCUCCUUCUUCACUUAGCCAUUGGAGGCGGUAUGGGUGUGGAUGUCUAGUUGUAGGAAGACCCAAGGUUUCAACCAUUAGUAAGCUUGCCACAUUGGUGCAACUCCCAUCAUCAAUGAUGAGACUACACACCCUAUCACUUACUUUACAUCGGGUGUAAAAUAAGUUUUUCCUCUGCAAUUGCUAGUCUUCCUUGACCCGGGUGGUUAGCACGCGUCAUGCUACCAAACAACCGAUUUUCUCUUGAGUGGGAGAGCAUUCUUCCUCAGCCGAGUCAUCCUCUAAGCAAUCGCCCUUGAUCAAUCCAGGCAUAUUCUCACAAUCGUCGUUAUCAGACACAAUUUUUCCAUUGUGGGUGACUAAUAUGACCUUUUGAUUUGGACAUUGAGACUGGAUAUGUCCAAACCCUUGGCACUUGAAGCAUUUGAUAUCUCUACUCCUAGGUUUAGGAGUUUUGUGAGGAGUCUUAGAAGUGAAUUUGGAUGCAUCAACUAGUUUGUUAGGGGUAAAUUGGAAAUUUUGGUUAGGAACACUACCUUGAAUUCGGCUGAAAGAGAUGGGUGUAGCCAAAUUUUCAGCUUCGUGGGUUGUCCUCCGUGGUUGGUUUCCCCUCCAUGAAGUUGAGUUGGAAGUUUGGAAGGUACGGGCCCUUCGCCUCAAUUUCUUUCCCCUCUCGAUCUUGAUGGCUAGUUCAAGAAGAUCAUGCAUGUCCAAGUAAUGUUGGAGUUCCAAGGCUUCUUGAAGGUCAGGGUUGAGACCUCUAAGGAACCUUGCCAUGGUAGCCUCACUAUUUUCUUGAAUGUUCGCCCUCAUCAUGGCUAGGGGUGGCAAUCGGGUCGGGUUCGGGUUGAGACUUAAGUACAACAAAGAACCUGCUGACCCGAACCCGACCCGCCAACCCGAAACGGGUCAGGGUACUUGACACAAACCCGAAAAUUUCGGGUUGGUGGGUUGGCGGGUCGACCCAAAAUGACCCGAAACUUAAUUUUAAUUUAUUAACUUAUCACUGUAAUUUCUAAUAAAAUCAUUUUUUUCAUAAAAUUAAUUACAUCAUCAAGUAAUAAAAAUUUAAAUAAAUAAUUUCAAACCAAAUCUAAAAUAAAUUAAACACCGUAAAAGUGUUUUAUCCCAAAUCAAAUAUAAAAUAAAUUAAAACAGCAUAAAAGAAAAAAAUAACAUAAUAUAUUAUUUGUCCAAAUAUAUUAAUUUUAACUUCACAUAAGUUAAAUAAAUUCAUUUAGGAUUAAGUAAUUAAUGCCUUUGGAAAAAAAAGAAUGAUUUAGUUUAGUUAGAUAAAAUAAUUUUUAUGUUUAUUAAAUUAGUUUUAAUUCGUAAACGGGUCACAUCGGGUCAUAUCAGUUCACCACGGGUUGAUCCGAAAUUCACCUGUUUUCUUUUCGGGUUCAUCGGAUUCGACUCGAUUCUGACCCGGACUCCCGAAAUCUCAACCCAAACCCAUUAAUUUCAUAUUAGGUUCGUGUCGUAUUUUCGGGUCAUGUCAGGAAUUGCCACCUCUAAUCAUGGCCAUCUCGAUCUCCUUAUAGUAUUCCUCCACACUCAUGUUGCCUUGAGUGAGGGUUUGUAGCUUUGAAUGGAGAUCACGGUUGUAGUAGUUUGGAACAAAUCUCUUGCGCAUUAAUGCCUUGAGUUCUCGCCAAAUCCGGACUCGGGGUUCUCCCAUUCUCCUUCUAUUAGUCCUUACUUGGUCCCACCAAACUAGUGCGUAGUCAGUGAACUCAACAGUGGCAACCUUCACUUUUUGUUCCUCGCUAUACUUGUAGCAAUUGAAGACCAUUUCAAUACGGCCUUCCCAUUCUAAAUAAGUCCCAGGGUCACUUUUGUCUUGAAACGUAGGAACUUGAAUUUUAAAUUCCUUGAACUCGUUCCUAGACAUGUCUUGUUUAGGCCUCUUGACUCGUUCCUCAUCUUCACUAGCCGAGCACUCCUCAUAGUUUGCUCCUUUGGUGCCAUGGUUACUUCGGUUGCGAGAUCUAGAACGAGAGCCUCUUGUGAAGCUCUUUGAGAGCUUGUCAAAGCGGUUAUGCAUCUCCUCCAUUUGUUGCUCACUAAUCCACUUAAGCUCGUUUUUCAUGACGGUGAACAUAAAUGAAUAAUCGGUGGUUGGAUGAGUUUGCUCCAUGUCCCUUGACUUAUCCUGCAAAACGUUAGUGAACAAGGAAAUAGAACAAAUAUAACCUUACUUCACUCCCUUAGUGUUUCUCUCACCCUCGUAUUUUCACUCAAACACUUUAAUGAUCUUACCAAAUUCCUUUACCUGUCGGAUUGGGUAGUUGAGAAAUGCUACAAAGAUCCAACAAUUGUCACCAAACUUUUUCACAAGAGUAAUCAAGGAAACAAGACACAAAUGGAGUGCAAAAUGGAACAAGAAUGCACGGUUUUUGGAAGCUUUCAAGUGGCGGAUAGAAAUGGAAAGUGCGCUAGUGUGAACAAAGAAUCAAGUAAAACCCUAGUUUCCUAAAAUGUAGGAGUGUAUCCAAGUGGGAACAAAAGAAUUGCCCAAGUUGUCAACUUAGUUUCCUAAGUGAUUUUGGAAACAAGUUAGUGUUGGAAACCUUUUAGAAAACUUUUUCUUCUUGACACAACUUUUUUUGAAACUUCCCAAAUUCGAUUCCCAAUAGGAUUUCCCAACCAGAUUUCGUUCCUUCCCACAAUACCCUUACUAAAGUUUGCUGAUCACUUAUAAAACUCCCCCACACAGCCGCACUCUUACACACAAAUUAGUUUCGGACCCUUCUAUUUUUCCCAAGUAGCAAGGCAGUUCGGUUUCUUUGGUUUCAAGGCAAUAGAGGCUCAAACAAGUUAUGCAAAUAAUCCUCCUCGAGCUCCCCCCCAACGGGUUACCCAAGAUGUUCCCAAGAAAUACACACCAACUCCAAGGAAGUCCUUCACCACCGCUAAAGAGUACAAGAAGUUGUACACUCGAAGGAUGAAGCAAGUUCCCAAGAAGUAAGAUAUUCAAGAAUUCCAAGAAGUGGUGGAUCAAAACUUCUAAGUCUUUUUCCUUUGUUAUGAUUUAUUUUUUUUUUCUCUUUUCGGCUUGGCAACAAGAUUUAAUGGAGACUGUUUUGGCAAUAAAAGUUUCGAACUUGCCCUCUUGUUUAAUUUUUUUUCUUGCCCCACCGAAUUCUCUCUCCUUUCCUUGUUUGCCAUUUCCCUUUUUUUUUAACUUAACAAACAACACAAACACAACUUGGCAGAAUGGAGUAAAUUUCCAGAUUUGUGUUCGGCCAACAACACACAAGCACGAUCAAAAUCCCUCAAGAACUUCCAAGUUACCAAGAACAUCAAGAACCUCAAGAUUGUGUUCAAGAAAUUCAAGAAACCCUAGAUUCUUGUAAGUUCUCCUUAAGAUUCACAACACCAACAAGUUUUAACCAAAAAUCAGAUUUGAAAAGCAAGUAAAACAACUUGGAUGACCAGCGAACAACUUGGCAGAUUGCAACUCGAGAAACCCUAACGCGAUUAAGAAAUUCUAGCAACCGCCAAGUUCCCUUUUCUUGCUACCCAAGCGACACCCAACUUAACGAGACAGAUUGACACGACACAAGGCACAAGAUUACGGAUAGAAUUGGAGACAACUAACGACUCAAUACCAAGAACAAGUGGCGGACAGAUUUUUAGCGCAACAAAGAGAUGCUAACGGACAGAAAUUUGAUGAACAACUACAACGACCAGAAAUUGACGCAACAAGGAACAAGAAAAGGUGCGGACAGAUUCUAUAUUAUUUUUUUUGAACAAUGCAGCGGAAACACAAAACCCUAGACGAGACAACGACGAAAACACGGAUAUAACGAAAGAUACCUCAACCUAUGUUCUGAAACCAGCUAAUACGCUCCUCGAUCAACACGUUUCAAGACACGUAGCACGUUUGCCGAAGGAUCUAGCGAGGAUGUCCAACGUUUGGUUUGCGGAACCCAAAACCAAGGCGGAAGACACGACUUGAUUGAAGGUGGUAGAACGAUGACUCCAAACGAGGUGAAUACUCAAGUGGAUAGGUCGGAUGAACAAUCAAGGACAAUCACGAGAUUGCUCAAGAACUCUUGCCAAAGUAAGUAAAGGAUUCGAAUCUCUCAAUAAUUGGAGAGAAACACAAACAGAAUUUUAUUAUCAAAAGUGUCUAACCCUUAAGCCGUACAAAGUGAGCCUUCUUAUAGGAUAAGGACUAAGAAAACCCUAAGGACUACUAGGAGGAAGGGGUCGGCCACCCUUGGCUUCAAGUGAGCCAAGAUUACACCUUCAACUAAUGUGAAUAACGACAUUUAACACUAAAAACUAAAGGCCUAGUCAACCCUCCCACAUGCGUGGCCACUUAAUUCUUCAUGGGCUUGGAUCAUCGUGUAGACAACUUGAUUAUCACCAUCUAAGCUUUCAAUGCUCCUAUGGACUCCUUGUUGGUUUUGAACAUUGAGCACAAGAGUUUGAAGAGACUCCUUGAAGCGCUUGGCCCGUGCACGUGUAACCGGGCCUAAUGGAACUCGAAUUGGACCAUUACUUGGGUUAAGGUCCAUGCACACAUGAAAAGGAAUUACAAUGUAGAGAGUUUAAAAGAUACAAGAACUUCCAAAAUGAAGUGUAGUCAAAAGUCAAGAAUAUAAAAUAUGAUAGUAAUCCAAGAAAUCAACUAAGAUAGUAACUUGCAAGCAUUCAACUAAUUGAAAUGUACCAAAAAGAAAUUUGUGAAGCAAAUCAAAAUAUAGGGGCAAAAUUAAACGGUGGAACAAAAACAUAGAAUGAUAAAUAAGAUAUAACACAUGUGAUUAGAUCUAAGAGAUAUGUUAAAUUACCACAUCCAUAUCAUGUUAGCCAUUCUUGGAAUUGUUUUUUAAAAAAUAAAGAACUGCCAACACCUAGAUAAAAAUAAACAUAGAUAUUUCUAAAUGAUAACUAAAUAAUAAACAAAAGUCCUACACUAAAACAUAAAUUGGAUGGAUUACCUUAUAUGUCGAAAUAUUGGAUUAUUACAAUAUUAUGUAUCUUUCAUCAAUGUAAUGGGCAAAUUAAAUGCUUCCAAGUUAUCCAAUUGACAUGUAUCAACAUUCAAAUGAUUCAAUCUAACCCUAAAAAUAAAACUAUCAACCAUAAAAAAGGCAUCAAACUUUUCAAAGUUUCAUGUAUGUGAGACCCCGAAAUUUUACUUGUCUUUAUAACUCUUAUUUAAACUUACUUGCCUUAGAUUCUUAGUUGUCUGAAUGGUUGAAUUUGAGUCAAAGGAGUGAAUUUUGUUAAGAACAGUUUCAUAAUCUCAAGUUGCUAGAAAAUCUAGAAAUUUUCGCAGAAGACUUUGCGCACCUUUUGAAAAUUGGCUAUAAUUUCGCAUAGGAAGGUCGGAAUUGAGUUCCGUUUGUUGCGUUUAAACUAGACUCAUAGGGCUUCCUACAGUGAAAAAUUCAAAAUUUGAUUCAAUCUCUAUAAAUUUCAGAAAAUUGGCAAAGUUGACUGAAAAUUCUGCCCUGCACAAGUAAACAUAGGAAUGUUGUAGUAGCUUAUGACUCAAUUUGGACUAACUUAUGGGUUGAAUUUCUUUGAGAUGUCUUCUAAAGAUUAUCAGUGUUUUUAGUCUAGUUUUUAACUUGCCAAGUUGUAUGGAUGUUUGACAUUUAUAACUCAAGUUAUGAUUUUUCUAAAGGAAUGGCACAAGUUAAGGUUUUUUGUGCAUACUAGGGUUUUUGGUGUGUUUUUGGUGUAUUUUGGUAGUGUGAUCGCUUAGUGAGGUGUGUACUAAAUUUGGUGGUUAAGAGUGAGUUUUAGAUAAAAGAAAGUGUGUGAUUAGAAAUGCUAAUAAUAAGUUAAUAAAUCAUAAGUGAAAACUCUAGUACGCGCGAGUUAAGGAAAAUAGGCUUGAACCGACGUGCACAAUUUGCUAUCGAUUGAAUGCACCACUUGAACACUACUUUAUUACCUUAAUUUUCUUGUUAUUAAUUGAGUAAAAUAAGCUCUAAAUAUCUCCUCAUACCAGUCAAAAUUUUGGACUAAAAAACAGGAGAGAAAAGAAAAAAUUUGACUUCAAAUCAAAGUGUGACACUUGUUGGAAAUUUAGUAAAUUUUGACUAAACAAAUUAAACAAAUUUUUUACCUUCUUAUCUUUCUUUUUGGCUCAAUUUCCUUCAUUUUUGCUUCAUGUUGGCCGAAACUAAGAGAGGGAAAGAGAGAGAAAAAUAACUUCAACUCCAACCUUAAUUCUUCCUUGUUGAGUUGAAAUCUCAAAAACUACACCGAUUAAACUUACCUUUUGGUGUUUGGAAAGUUUGGUGUGGUGAAAUUUUUGGAAGAGAGUGGUUUGGUUUUCAUUCCAAGCAGCUUUUGGAAGGUAUAAGGCUUGACUUUUCUUUUCUCUUGCUUAAUCUUGUUAAAUUUGGGAUAGAAGCUUAUAUUCUUGGUUUGCUAUGGUUACUUGUUUAGUUUUGAUGGAGUAGUGGCAUGUUUAGCUAGGGUUUGCAUCUUUCAAUUUUGGUUAGUGUUGUUUAACUAGUAAAUGAUGUUAUUGAGGUUGGAAAUGGAACCUGUGAAGUGAUUUUGGGCUUGAGUGUAACUUUGUUAGAGUAAAAGUUGAAUUCCAGCAUUUGAUAGAGAUUCUGCCUUGUUUUUUAAACCAAUCUGACCUGCAUAUUUGUCCAUGAUAAAGGCCAAUUCAGUUCUUACUCAAAACAUGAAAGUUUUAGAGAAUUGAGUCAAAUAUCUACCUACAAAACUUCAUCUCAAUCGCAGCACUAUAUCUUGUAAAAUGACUAAAAUACCCCUGACUGCCCAAUUGUCCUGUUUCACAGGUAGCUUUCUAUUUUCUCUGAGAUUUUAAUUUUUGACCCUGAAAAUGCGAGAACUAGGUAUUGAUGUCUUCAUAGGAAAUGUAGGUCUAUGUUUGAGCUUCGAAAUGCUAUAAAAUUUACCCCAAUCUGAUAAGUGUAGCUUCAGUUGUAACCAAAACAUCAAAAGAUGACAAAUCUACCACUUAGACAUUCUUCUUUAAUACUAGUUUCUAGUUUUGGUCUUUGUGGUUUCAUUGUUAGAAUUGACUUGUAUUUGGAUGAUAUUGAGCCUAAUUGAAGAGCUAUUAUGUUAGGAUUACUUAUGUGUUGAAUUUGGGCUUAAUUAAGGAAAAUAAUGAAGCCAUAAAUGGCUGAAAAUAGCUAAAUACAAAGGGCGUGCUAUCCAAAUUUUCACUCGAGAGUUAGGCGUAUGUACUCACGACUUGAGCGAUGAUUUGAGAUCGAAUUGGACUUGGAUUGUCUAGGGUAUUCAAGUUUUCUUUCGUAAAACUAUAUAAAAUUUUGCCGAAACUCGUACCCUUGAAAAAGUGAAGGUAGCGACCACUCGAAAUAUGUUUUUCUCGUCUUUUAGAUUCAAACGCGAAUUCCAAAGUUUUAUUUGUUUCUUUAGCAAUACCAAAAGAGCGAGCAUGAAUACUACCUAAAUGAGUUUCGAUUACUUGAUUUUCUUUAAGCGAAACUGUUAAGUUUCGAACCCUAGUUGAUGUCAAACUCUUAAAUGAUGUUUUACCGCAUAUUUGGACUCCAACCAAGGAGUUGUACCUGAGCGUGAUUUUGACAAGUACUAAAUCUUUGGCGAGUGCUUUCAAAUACAUGAUUGAACUUGAUACUUGAUUUAAAUUCUUUACCAACGUGAUCGGAUAAGAUUUGUUUGGUUUGGUCAAGCAAGUGUGUACUUUAUCACCCCUGACCUAACUCAACUAACCACUUGAUAUCUCAUUCAUGCUUGUACAAGUAACUUAAUUUGCAUUGACCUGUACUUGUAUUUGUACUUAUGCUUGACUUGUAAGUGUUGAGCGACAGCAUGUACCACACUCGAUCCGAGUGGGAGGUGCUUCUCAUUCUCAUCUCUGUACUUUUUCUCUUGACUAAGUCGAUUGGUCAUCGACUAUGUUGACUACUUGGGAACCCAUACCCCACUGGCUAGUUAAUCGAGUAGAGUCGGCAAGAGUUUAGUCAAUUAGAUAACAAACCAUGUGUCUCUUUUUUUGUCGAGUGGAGUGAUACUUCCUCGACUAAUCAGUAUACUCGAGUAUUACCACACAUGUUUACUUUGACGUUCGGGCCCGGUAAGGGGGUUGAAUGGUGGAUGGAAAUUGGCGUUAAGUGGGGCACUACUGGAUUGGUUAUUUUACUCGAAAGUUGACGAAGUGUCAACUACUACUUGAUCAAGCUCUGGUGAAGCAAUACGAAUUUGACUCCUGAGAGCCAUCUGUAUCUUUAUACUUUGAAAUGAUUAUUAUUUGUCGUGUUAUUGUUUAUUUUUGGAAAAAAAAACUUUACACUCACUCAUUUUGAUAUUUGCUAUUUGAAGUGUUAUUACUCAUUUUCUUGACUUGUUAUGCUCGCUACUUUGCUAUUUUGAUACUUGCACUUUGAAUAAUGGUCAAUUUGCUAUUUGGAACCUCACUGAAUUUUAGCUCAUCCUAUUCCGUUAAAUUUGUUCUCCUUACAAGGGGAACGAGUUAGGGCGUGAGAAUGGUACAAACUAGCAUAGUCUAGUUUUGAACUUUUACGAUUGCACUCGCGCUAGUGCUCGAUUAGGGUUGAAUGUAUCUGGAACUCAAAUCUUUUGUUAUAUUUGGGAAUGUUUGAAUGUUUGAGAUCGAAAUGAAUGUAUAUGUACGUUCCAAACUUGGGAACUGUUGUUCCAUUUACGCUUGAGGUUGUGAACUAUUUCAUUUGGAGUGAAUGAGUGAGUUCUGGCGAGAGUUGGGCAAGCGGUCCGCUAAACCCCGGGGUAUGCCCUAGGGGGAGGUGGGGUCGUCACAAUGUAUAUUAACCCUGCAACUACUCAUAAAGAACUUAGGACAAACUAUUCAAUAUAAGCAUUAAGUUGAAACAUAUUAAAGCAGCAUAUAUUAGUGGCAAAUACUAUCAUAUGGCGCAAUAAACCAAUUUACCUAAAAUGCAAAGAUCAUGCAAUGCAAAAUAAGAAUCAAGAUAAGGUCAUAAUGAAAAUCAAAGUGAUAUAUAUAAAUUUAAGUACUCAAAAAUUAAACUUCCAAGAACACAAAUGCAGUAUAUCUAAAAACUAAUUACAAUAGGAAAGUCUAAGUAGAAAUAAAUAAAACUCCAUAAUUUAAAGGAAUUUUGCAAAUUUUCAAGGGAACCCAAUAAGCAUCUCUUACAACUAGUUUGUUAUUUUACCGUUUUGGAUCUAUCCAUAAGUAUAUAUUUUGGACCAUAUGAUGUACAAUUACUCAAAUCAUACCACUGAAUACAAUAAUCUUUAACUAAUAUCUGAUUUGGAAUAAAAAAUGAUUUGUGACUGAUUUUUUUACCAAUGGGUAUUGAUACGAUUUUCGAUACGCGAUCAACAUUUGUGGAUGGAAUUCAUAAUCAAUCUUGGACUGCUCAGGAAUUAUUAGAAUUGGAUAGAAUGACGUCACAAUCAAGGUGAAUACUUGAUCGAUAAGUCGACGAAACAUCUUAGGCUAACUCUAAGAUGUUCAAGCACGGUUUUGACAAGCCAAGAGAGCUCUUCCUCACAAGAAAGAAUUCUGAAAAUUUUCUCAAAAUUUUUGUUCACUACUAAAAAUGUAAAGACCAAAGCUUAUUUAUAGCCUUUUAUACGACCCAGCUCCUAAUCAAACUAGAACUCACUUAACUAAACAUUAACUAUUAAGCAUGGACUCUUAAAAUUCGGCCAACAUGGCUUACUAAUGCUAUCCAUGGCUUACUAUGGUCAACAUGAUCUUAGCCAUUUAUUCCAUUAACUAACGACAAACUAAAGCUGCUGGAAAUAACUUAACGAGACUCAUAAGAAUGAAAACAAAUGGCAUAACCUAUACAACUAAAGAAAACAACUUGACUUGAUCCAAAUGCAUUCCACUUACUUCGUUGCUAGCUCAAUAUCGUAUCAGGUACAAAUAUAUACAAAUAUAUACUUUCACACAAAAUCAAGACAAUAUUGAUAACAUAAGACAUUUACAUGAAGUUUGGAUUUCUCAUAUAAAGAAAAAUCAACUUAAAAAAAACAAAAAAAAUUAAAACUAUCACUAGAUCAAUUUUGCAGAUAGAAUUGAUUGAGAAGAGAGAUGGAUGCAUGAGAGGAACUGUGAAAGAGAACUCAACAACAAAAGGAUGGAGAAGUGUGGGGUAGAUUUGAUGGUAAGAGAGAGAGAGAGAGAGAGUAAGAAUGGUGAUUUAAGUUGAAUUUUGAUAUAUUUCACCUAAGAAGAAGCCUCAGAGUGCAAUUAUUUAGGUAAUUUUUUAUUUGUGAGAGAUUAUGGCAGUAGAUAAGUACCAUUUUAAGUGUCCUAAUCCAAUAGUUAAUUUUAACUAAUACUUAUUAACAUAUAGACAAAAGGGGCUAGAAGGAUUUCCAAACUUUUGGUCAUCCUUCAUCGUCCCUUGUUCGCCUCUUACAUGCAAUUCACGUGAGUUUGCUUUCGAUUCUACUAGACCAACCUUUAAAAAAAAAAA